CCAAAAAAAAAAAACAAUGUCAAUACUCAAAUUUCGCCAAUCCUUAUCAAAGAGGCACAUUGUUGAUACAAUUGAGUAAUUCAAACUACGAUUUUAAGCGUCUUCCUAGAAACUUCCGGAACCGGGGACAGAGGUAUUUAGCAUUGAAAUCCACCGGAAAAGGAUUCUACACCGGAGUCUAUAGUAAUCUUAGGUCUCUCACACAUUACGAAAUGGAUUAUCAAAUGAGUACACAGUUUCAGAACCCUAACAGUCACAGAAACAAAACAAAAUAGAGAGAUUAAGCCGAGUUCAGAGAACAGUCUGAACAAGGAUAAUAGGAAAAAACAAAACAGAACUUGACGAAUCCGAAACAAUACAUAACUGAUUGAAGACGAAAAGAAAUGAGAAUUUCAGACGAGAGAAACCAACAAAUAUAUAGAAUAUCGGAAACAGGGACAGAGAGUAGAGUAGCAUCAUCACCUUUUUAACUGUUACAAAGGCUUCAAAAACAAGAGUAGACGAUAUUUUCAGAUUGCUUUCCCGGUGGAGGAGAACCACUCCUAGAGAUUCAUCUUCUCAAUUCAGUUGACAUAAACGAAAGGCGCUCAAAUAUCAAAAUAAUUUCAUGAACACGAGAAGAAAGAUAUGUUCGAAAAUGUUUAUGAGUUAUUAAAAAAAGAAAAAAACAAAAGAAAGAAAGAGAGGAGAGAAGAAAAAUGUAACAGUCAAAGAAGAAGCUAUUUAAGAGGCGCUUCUAAAGUUAGUAGUACCCUAGUGACUGACUGACUGAUUCAUUCGUACGUCCGGUGGAACCACGCGCGCGCGUGCGUCUCUAUUUUUAUGAACCGAAGAGACCGCCGAUUCGCUCUCCGUCACAUCCACCGAAGCUUUUUGUAAAUUAAAUAAAAAAACAAUUUAUUACUAAAUCCCUCGUCUUUACUUUAUCACUACAAAAAGAAAGCAAUUAUUCUUUUCACCCAUAAUUACGCAUCGAAAUACACAAUAAUAUGGAUACAAUCUUCUUAUGCGUAAAUGCAGAUUAUGAUUACAGACCAAUUUCAUUAUCAGACGUUUAAAAAUCUUUUGAGUUUCUCUAUUUUUGUAAAUAAUACGCAGAUUUGUCAGUAUAUUUUGAAAAUUAAGAAAUAUAUCUCUAAUUGAUAUUUUUGGUCAACAAAUUGACAAAAUUGUAACUUUUAUUUUCUUUUUAAGUAGAUAUGUACAACUCACCAUUACUUUAUUUUGCAUUUACUAUUAUGGUGGUCAAUUUUUUUUUAUUGUUAGCAUUUAAGGAGAUAUACUAUAACAUUUUUUGCUAAAAAUACUACAAUAAAGUGUUGACUUAUCCUUUUUUGACAACAAAGUGUUGACUUAUCCAAAGAAUUCAACUUUCUUUUAACUUCUCUCAUAUUUUUUUGACAACAAAACGGUACUCGAUCCGUAUAUAUCAAAAAGAAAAAAAAAAAAAAAAAAAAAAAAAAAAAACCACGCAUAGAUUUGGGACUGUGGGAGUAGUUAAUAUACGAAAAAGGGAAACUGAUUUGGAAGCUGUUCCGUAUCGAGUAAUUGACAGAUGUUUGAUUUUUCUAUGGUUGAAUCGUUUGAGCAAUUAUAAGAAGAGAGAUUCCUUAGACCUUGGCACUGAUUUUUGUUUUUCCUCAACAAUUGUUGUCACAAUGGGAUUUCAAACAUGUAAACAAAUUCUAAAAAAUAUUCUCAUAAUAUACAAAUAUCUGACUACGUAAGAAAAGAACCAAAAAAAAACUAAUAACAACUAAAUUUCCCAACAUGUUUGUUUACAUCUGUUUUUUUCUUCUAUAUACUGUAUUCCCCCGGUUAAAGUGUAUCAAUGGGUCUCUUCUAUCAUUUUGACGGUGGUGACCACGAAGAACCACGGCUAGCAUGGCUAGGCGCCGGAGUAUUUUUCCGGGACUGACGUUUGGUUGGCACAGUAACACAGUCUUCAUCCGAAUCCUCUGCGCGAUAACUCGAUAUCUCAUCAAACCGACUAUCCUCAAAGUGGUCGUCUCUGAAAACCGGAUGAAUAUAUGCUUUCUGAAGAUAUGGUUUCAGAUUAAAGUAGGGAUCUCUAGCUUUUUCCAAUGUAUCUUUGACCAUAGCUUCCUGUAAACCAGGCCAUUGGAUAUAUAUCGUAAACAUACAAUCAAAUAGAGUUUCUUUUAACUGAUGACCAAACCUUGGCUUGAGUAAUAAUAGUGAGAGACUUUUGCUACUAACCUUCAAGGGGUGUCGGAGGAAUGCUGGUUCAUAGCGGCCUUUGCAGAACCGGUGAAAGAAAAAUGUGAGGAUCGGUAAGACGAGGAGGAAAGGCGUGGACUGAGCGGCUCCUUUAGUGCUCAUUAGUCCCAUCAAAAGGACUUGCGAGAUCAUCAAUGCUGAUAUUAUACGUCCAUGAACAUCUGGCCAGAACCUAGCCCCGCUUUCAUAUUCCUGAUUGUACACAUUUAUGAUCUGCCAAAACGCUUAAUCAGCAAAACAAGAAAGUUCAACAAGUAGACAAGUAUCUGUAUGAUUCUGUUAAGCUCUCUUGAUAACCAAAAGAUCAAAAACCAACAUUUUUAAACACCUUAUCCGGGUUUGGUUGAUACAACCAAGGAAAAUCUUAGGUUCAAACAAAACUUGGAAAUCUUGACUAUGGAAAAUAAUCUUGAAGAUGUUAUAAGAAGAAACAGAGUUAGGUUUGCUAACCUGAUGACGAAAUACCAGGUAGGCCAAUGCGAAGAAGAUAAUAAUAAAUGGGAGUAGAACCGGAGUCACAGGGGCAUAGACAAGACCAAGUAGGAAGUAGAGUUGAAUCCGAGGCUCUGUCGCAUGAUAAUUGAUCUGUCCCGGGUUCAUUGCGUCUUCUCUAUCCUUUUCUGUUUUCACCAAGAAGAAGUUCUUUAUAUGGAAAAAGAUCAGAGGUUUCAGCCUCAGUAUCUCCCCUGCAAUACCCGCCCAACCGUCCACCAUUAUAUAUGUGAUAAAAAAUGUUGCUUUUAUCGGUAUCGCUACUCCAACUGUCCUAGGAAUCCUAUAACAAAUGACAAGUGCAAACAAUACAUAAGCUCGACGACAUACAGUUCUAAUAGAGACAGGGACAAAGAAAUAGGAACUUACUGAUUUGCAGAUUGUUUGAGGAAAGAAUCAAGCUGUUCAAAUGCAGAGCCGGUAAUUAUGCUUCCGAGGAAAACAUUGACGAGGUUAAAGACAUAAUACCGAGCAGCUGCUCUUCUCUCUAACGAUGAUAACGAUACAAACCCUUCAAACUUCGACAUUACCAUCAAAAUGCUUGGCAGAAAUAUUAGAAAGAGCUUUAACACAAUACCCGGUAGGAAACCUUGGAUAACCGAUUUAACAAGCUUCCUGCAAAACAUAGCAUAUUUAAACAUCUAGACAAAAAAUGUAGAGAGACAGACAGACAGACAGAGUCACAGAGGGAAACAUACUUAUCAAUGAUGGAUUUGAGGAAAGGAGCGGAUUUCUCGAUGCCUUCGAUGCUUGCUAGGGAUUGAACAAAGGCUAUCGGAAUCAUGAAGAAGAAAGUGAGGAAGAAGAAUGCAAUGUGCAUUAUAAGUCUUCUAACUGUUAAAGAGACAUAAGGUAUGGCGAGGUUCGACCAAAACACUUCUCGUGCCUCGGGAGCCCAUUCAGUUAACCAUUCAGUCGGAUCGCUUGACUGUUGAGUCUGUGCACAAACCGCAGCACCCCAUCGUGUUUUAAAUGAGACAAAAGCUGCUGGCAUUAUACUCGAGUCAUCUUUCUUUACUUUCUUCCUCUCCUCUAAUAUCUAAUCAAGAAACCAAAAAGAUAAGUCAUGUUUGAUUAUUUCGAACGGAGAAAGGUGUUGUUGCAAGAAAUGAGAAGACAAACGAUACUCACUUGCUCAUUUAAUUUCUCGAUUUCAGCUAUAUAAUGAUCGAUUGCGUCAACAUUUUUCCCCCAUAGCCCGAGAAAACCCGUCUAGUUUCCAAAAGAAGACAACAUAAGACAGAUUAGAGACAAGAGAAGCUUCUUUAAGUUUGUGUCUAAGACCACUCAGUUACCUUUAUCCUUGGCCUUUGUUCCUGAUUUCUUGUAUACUUCAAUUGGUAAUAGUCAAGCCAAUUCUGCGUGCUCUUCUUCUGCUCUACUAGUGCUUCCAAAUCGUUUGCAUUAUACACAACCUGGACAAAUCAAGUUGUAGGAUUUAAACACAACCACGGAAAAAAGACCGAUCCUUUCUAAGCGAUGAAUGAGCAAAUAACCUGAUGUGUAAGAUAAUGGUCCGGAUGGUUAACUAGGAAGAAAUGUUCCACACUCUCACUAAUGGACUCGUCUGCAUCCGCUGGUACGUUCCUAACCAAAACCUGUAAAAGCAAACAGGGUCAGUCCAAGGUUAUAACAUCAGGAAACAAAACUGAUCAUAGAUAAUAGCUUUACCGUGAACUGAUCAGGGCGACGUUGCUCGUUCUGGAGAAAUGCCAAACGCAUAGCAGCUACUUUCUCAUACUCUUUCAUUAGAACAUAGCAAGUCCAGAAUGUAAAGGCGUAAGCCAUCACCAGGUGAGUCCAAAACCUUCAAAAAAACACAAACUUUUUUAAGACACAGGUGGAAGAAUAAAAACAUAUAUGAGAUUUUUUUUUUUUUUUUGGAUGAUUUGCAAACCUGUCUGAUCCACGUUGGAUAUUCGAGAUCGAUAACUUAUCAAUAUCACUAGAUGUUACAUUACGAAGCUUUGCUAGUUGCAGACCAUCACUAGUCCAAUUGACAGGUACAAGAAUCGACCAAGCAAGUAAAGCUACAGGGACAAAGAUCUUAAGCCUGAAACAAAAAAAAAAAAACAGAGAAACAACAAUAAGUCUUAAAGAUGAAACCAUGCUAAAGCAACAAUCUUUCACAAGCAAAAUUACAAAAAAAAUGAGUACCCUGUCAAGUAAAUCCUCAAGUAGACCGCAGAAUCCAAUCCAGCAUGGUCAAUAAGCUCGGGCUCGGGCAUCUUAAGAGCGGCGGGCAUCCAGUUCAAGAACCGUAGGUAGGAGCCUAAGUCCACAUUGACAAACUUGCUGACAAGAGCACCUGAAUGCAAAGGGCUGCUUCUAAUACCUUUGAGAUACCAUUUAGGAAAAUAAACCCUGUCGUUGAAAGGUUGAAUCCUCAAGAUUGCAAAUGCCAAAAGGAAGAUGAUGGCUGUGAGUAUGUUGAUACUUGCUGCUACUCCAAUAUCUUCUAGUGUUGCCAUCUCUCUUUAGCUCAAAAUCUAAUAAUCCCCUUUCAAAAUCAAAAGCUUCGUUACCUGCAAAAAUCGAUUCAAACAAACCCUUUUGUAAUCACAAAAAAAUUGCUUUCACUUACAAAAUAGAUUCAUCCCUAAAUUCAUUCAAAUGGCGUGUUGUGAAAUUUUUUAAGCAGGAAGAAGUAAUUAAUAUGGAGAUUAAUAUAUCUAAAGAUUUAUUAAAAAAAAAAUCUUUCUGAGAAAGGAAAUAGAUAUGGAGGAAUUGGAAAGAGGACAUAUUCACAGCAUUUCUAAAAAGAUAGAACAUAUAUAAUCUCUCUACAUUUUAACAUCAUCAGUCAAUAAUAAAAAAAAUGACAUAAGAGUUCAAAGAGUAAAUUAAAACUUUUAAUUGAGAAACUAGUACAUUUAAGAAGUGAUUUGAAUCAAAAUCUCUAAAGAGAAACCCAAAACCCAGAAAAUUGUGUGUGUUUUAUUAAUUUUCGGGAGUUAACGUCUCUUUCCGACAACAAAAUACACUUUUCCUAAAAAUUCUGUAUAAGCAAUCUAAACUAUAAGUUAACUCCAAUAGCACCAAAUGGAAGGAGAAAAAUGUAAAAGAAAAAAACUAAAAAAACCAAAUUAAACAAGUAAAGGAUACAUACCUUUGGAUUUGUCACUCUUAUUAACAGCAGCUUGAGAAAUGUAACCACCAACUCUUCAGAGAUCGGAGAAGAUCGACCUUAUUCUUUGCACACAAACAAAAAGGGUAAGAAAAAUAGAGGCGUUGUGUCGUUUCUUUAGCUGUUGUAAAACGCUGAAUAAACACGGAAUAAGGAAUGGUAUAUAAAGUGAGGACGAGGAAGAUGAAGAACCUUUUUCUUUUUUUUCUUUUUUUUUUCGAUUUUUGUUUCUUGUUGUUGAGCAUUUGGGUGUAUUAAUAUAUAUAGAAAAGGUGAUGUUGGUGCGCGUAUAGUCAGAGUCUCUGGCUCUGUCUUCAAAGUUAAUUUCGUCAUUGUAAAGUUUUAAGAAAAUAAUCCAGUAGAUUUGUAAGUAAUUAAUUGUCAAUUAAUUAAUUAAUGCAUGGUUUAUUAGAUUUGAUCACGAAAUCAGCUAAGCUGCCACGUGGGGGCGGCAACGGUUGUAUUACUGUACUUGCCACGUGUGUUUCCCUAUAGAACGAGAGAACUUGUUGAUAACCUCACGCGCCGAACUUUGAGCUUGACCACACGUUCCAAUAAAACAUCAGAUGUAUACAAGUUACUGUCGUUUGAAGUCUGUGGAAGCGGGGAAUGCUGAAACGACAGCGUUUUAGCCGCAAGAGAAGAAGGUGUUGUUGUGAUGUGUGAUUAUGAACACUUGACCAACCAUAAAUCUUAAACCUAGUAUUCUUCUAUUUCAAACUCAGUUUAAGUGGUAAAACUUAAACCUAGUAUUCUUCUAUUUCUUGAUAAUAUCUUAAAAUACAACUCAACUCGAACGUUUUAAUUCAAAUACAAGAUGAUACAAAAAAUGGAUAAAAUGGGUUAAAUCAUCAAAAAAAAAAAAAGACCGAAAUUGUUGAUCGGUUACUUUUAAAAGUUGAAAAGUUUUUAACCAUCUCAAUAAACGGAAUGGCAAAAAAACCAUUAAAUUUUAUUUUUAGUACAAUCAUGAUGAAUCAUGGAUCAUGCAUGGCACAUACAUUCUUUACAUCUUGGGUAACGGUAAACGCUACGUCCAGUAGGUCUAGCAGACACAUGUUUUGUUUGUCUAAUCGCUUUUCUUACUCUUUGCUCAAACACGUUCCACUCUAUCGUACUGUUCCUCAUCAGUAUGUCCGAAAGUCUCCGUUUGUUCGGUCUUAUCGUCGGCAUUUUCCCGCCUCCGUAAUAUAUCCGAUAUCCCGAUACUAGAGACGACAACUGACUCCCUGGAUCCGUCAUCGCAAACGCGUCUGCCGCAGCACAAGCUAUGAAAUCUAAAGCCGCUAGCUACACCAAACGUAAACAAAACAUAAUAAUCUCUAACCGGUUUGAAACCUUUGUUGAGGUCUUAAGCGGAACAAAUUAGUAAAGCUAAAGGGAAAAGUUUCGUUUUUUUUCUUGUGUUAACCUGAGAUGAAAAGUUCUUGAAUGGUUGUAGCUCGGAUUGUGUUAGUAACUUCUCUUUGGUGACUAGGUUCGGGUAUAAGCUCGUUAACACGGCUAACCGUUUUGAUCCUCCAUAUAUAUUUGCGCCAGCUACAAAGACUCGGGUUUCACGGUUGAAGCCGAGAGCAGCGAGCAUAAGCACCGCUUCUUCGGGUGUUAACGGACAAAGUCCUUCCGUCCUCAAAACAUCAGCAGAUGGGAACCUUGAUUACAAAAGAAUCCGAAACAGAGUAAUUUAGGUUUAGCAUCGGAAACAAGUAAGAGAGGAAGCUUGGGUCUGAAGUAAGAGGAACAAACUUUUUUUUUUUGGUUAGAGUUAAGAGAGAAGGGAAGUGUUUUUGGCGAUAAGAAUCCAACUCUUUCUGUUCUGUUUUGCCUCCUCCAAAAUAACAUAGAGAGUGAGCCACCAUGUCGAUUUCAAACCGUAGAUGGAGAGCAAGGUACUUAGAAGAGGAAGUCGCCUCAUGCUGCACUAGUGGAGGAUUAGAUUCAUUUCCCAAGAUUAAGGAAGCGAAUUUAGGACCAAGGAGAUGCUGAUCAAGUGGUGCAACGUAAGAUCUGCUGUCUCGUAGUCUCCUCAUCAGCAAAGCCGCAGUUUCUUGUAUUCUUGGGACAAAGUGUAGCGCGUGAAAGUUACAUCUGCACCGAAGCCUCUACUACCAAAAAAGUUUAGCACAAAGAAGCUAGCUAAUUAGAGAUAGAAAUGCAGAGGACUCAAGAAUUAUAUAUCUACCUGUAACUCAGACGGAAUUGGAUCAAAGGCUAAACGAUUUCCGAAUCCAACAAAGUGGACUACUCCGUUCUUGACUAGUAUAGGGAGAGUAUGUUGCAUAUAGAAGUCUGGUUUGGCUUCCUUCAUCACUUCUGAAUCUGUCACCUUAAGAGAUAAAAGUGACAAAACAUAAAACAAACAAACAAACAAAAAAAAAGAGAAAGAAAGAUGAGACUCGUCUACAUCAAGAUUUGGGAAAACUCACGACACUGCCGAUUGCUUCAAGAUCCAAAGAUUGAAGGUUUUUUGGUAGUUCCUUUACUAUCCGAAUAUCAGGUGACAAAUACUUUAUAAAAUGUUCCACUUGGUAGAUAUCUCCAAAAUGACUAUGAAGUAGCAAAGUUCAAUAAAUCCGUUACAAAUGUAAAAACAAUUCUUCUGUAUGAUUUGAAAACGGUAAGACAGUGUGAGACAGAGGACGGAGAGCUUACAAUAGUUACCUUGCAUCUGUCCAAACGUCACUUAACAUGAACUUGGGAAUGACGAGAGACGCAUUGAGCAAUCGGGCUACAACAACAAUGUUACAUACCUGUGAAGACAUCCAAUGGUUGUAAUCUACUAGAGAAAUUUUAAAGAUAAAUUGUAGGACAAGGAGAAGAAAACUUACAGCAACUCUUUGUUGAUUAAUCCCUCCGUUUGCAGUUACCAUUAUAUAUCCAUUUUUGCCAUCUAUAAAAUCAGGUAAAGUAAAACUCCAUAGGAAACAAGCUUCAACCCAAUGUUAAAGAGAGAUAAAAAAGGACUAAAAGAGAGACCGUCAGGGGUCCAAGAACGUUGAUCAGCGCAAGGCUUCCAUGCCGAGGCUUGUUCCCUUGGCUCCUGCCAUAACUCUUUUGGCUCAAGUUUGUUCUGAUCAAAAUCGAACACCAUUUCCAUGCAAAUUAGAAAUCGAUCGAAGUAGCAAAACAGUGUUACGGAGAAAGGAAGAUAAGAUUGGUUUUUGAAGAAUACAUGAUUUACCUCUGCCAAAGCAUGAGCAGCCAAACUCAACAUCCUACCAUAUGUUCCAUUAUAUUUCCUCUUUGUUUUUUCAAACUUCUUACGUUCUUCAUUCUGAUUCACACACCAAAGAAAAGUUAGAUAAAAAAAACUUUAAGUACAGGAAAAAAAAGCACAAUGUGAAAAGAGUGUAACACAAGAAACGUAAGUAAUUAAAGGAAACAAGUCAUUGACCUGUGAAAAAACUAGUUUUGAGUUCCGGUUAGGGUUCUUAGAGAGUCCUCUUCGGAGCCAGACACGACCUUCGUGAAGGCGAGAGAGCAUGAACCAAUUAACGAGACAAAAGAAACCCAAAAUCGCGAUAACGCCUAUGGCUGUUUUAGCCGUUCUUCUCUCGGAACAAGCGGAACAAGCUCGUAUUCUCUUCCUCUUCCCUCGCUUUAUCGAUUGUUUUGGAUUCAGGUCGCCGGCUAAUGUAGAGAUCCGGGUCGGGCCUAGACGCGCACCACCGUAGACGUAAAGAUCACGUGACUCGGGUCUCUCUUCGUCGUCCAGUCUCUCUUGUCCCAUGAUCAACGAAAGACUCCUUUUCUUUGUAUCCCUCCCCCUCUCUGUGUCCGAAUCGACAAAAGGGGAGAGAGAGAGAGACUAAACUAAAGGAUGUAAGAAAUUGCCAUAAAUAAGUAAGCGAAAGAUUUGCCGAAUCUAACGAUGAUAGUGAGAGUAUUUUCUUCGUUCGAAACAUCGAACAUCAUUAACGUUUGAUCUUAGUUUAAUUUUCGACCCAUAUAUAUAUGCAUGCACGUUAAAUUAUCACGUUUUCUGAAUACAGUUUUAAGCUAUAUGAACAUUGAACAGAAAAUAUACUAUACCCUUUGGUAUUUUUUCUGAAAUUAAAUCUUGAAUUUCUAAAUCACAACUACUUUGAUUAUUUAUCACCAACAAAAAGUAAAUAAUACAACUACAUCAUGCAAGAUGCAACCGGAAAAAAAAAAAAAUCGACUAGCAAGGCUAGGUAAUGGAAUCUAUAAACUUUUUUACUAUAUACACAAAGUAAAGUCAUAUGUGAUAUUUCGCUUUCGAAUUAGCAAAUCUAGUAGAAUACAACCCAUUAACAAACCAAUCUACCAGUAGAGAGUUAUUUAAAAUUAAUCAAUUAUGGGACCAUGAUGUAUCUUUAGAACCUACCAUGCAUUUGGUAUAUCUUUUAAUGGGCUUAAAGAAGAGUUGGCUAUAUAUCACAUCUAUAUUUUAGAAAUUUAGACUCCAUCUUUAGAACUUAAAGUAAAUUUAGAAGCCUGAUCUUGAUGUAUCAUCUUUAAAGCCUAUCAUCAUUAGCUAUGCUUAAACAAAACUUGGGGUUUACCGUUUACAAUACAUUUCGAUUCAACAAUAUAGUUAAAAUCUCCGAAGCCAUCAUUUGUUGAUCCAUAGCUUAAAUUUUUUCGAAUAGAACCACGAAGAAUUUUGAAUUGGUCACUCAGAUUUAAGAACUUUGUAUUAAAUUUAGACUAUGUCUUCCAUAUUAUAAUUAUCUUAUAUAUUGAAGAAAAGCAAGAGAGAAAUAAACACAACCGAAACGGUACGGGUACGUAGGUAACAAAUAUAGAAAGAGACCAAAUGUGAAAUUCUAGGGAAAACAGAAAAGCAAGGGAAUGGUUGCUGAUCAAGAGAAGACUAUUGAGCCCCGAGCUCGAGAAGUAGCGUGUGGCUGAGAGCAUCUGAACCUGGUCCUGUGAAUUGGAUCGGACCUGCAAUAAUAUUUCCACAGAGGGUACACUAAGAAUCCAAAGACAACACGUGUUUUGCUUUAAGACAAAACAAAACUGCAACGAACCUGGGCUGAUGUAUCGGUUCUUCAAUGCCCAUUCCUCACGCAGCGAUGCAAAUUUCUUAAAAGGUGCACCUGCGGAUUCCAAAAAGUCACUUAGCAAGACCAUUAAACCGCAGGGACAAAAACUAUAAAAAGAGAAGGGAAUCGAAGGGUCACCUUCAAGUUCCACCAUUGCUUUCUUGAUCACAGGCUUGAACUUACCUACAAGUUGAUAUUCAACACAGAUUGUUUAAUAUCCAUAUUUCAAAUCUGAGUAGACUCUUAUUGAUUUAUUUUCUUACCGUGUCUCCUCUCGACAUCCAUCAAGGCAGUGAGAGCAGUCCCACCUACAGUCCAGUCUUCCACAGGAGCAGCCAAGUUCCCAACCUGCGCCAAUAAAGUACUAAUCUCAAUUUAAGCAUAAACUAGUUAACCAAAAGGCAGUUUCGAUCAACAGAUACAUGAGAAACAGAGAAAAACUGAUUCGAAUGGAAAUAGUGGAGUACAAACCGAAGAAAUCAGUCCCGUUUUCCCACUGUUGAGGAGUACUCCAGCGCCAUAACCAAGUGCAUAACAGUAUGUAGCAUCAAAGUUUGUAGGCAAGCCGCAUCUUCCUUCAUACCUGUUUCAAAUCAAUAAAUUGAGUUUGUUUCCCUCACAUAGAUAGAUAAGUUAUGUAUUAUGCAGCCAUAUAUAGGAACUUAGUUCACUGAAAGAAAAAAAACGAGAGAAAGUACCCGAAGAAAUGAGACUGUCCCAUAAAAUUUCCCUUGUAUGCACCAGCUUGCUUUCUUUUCUCCAAUUCAGUUUCAACCAUUUGAAUAAGCAUCUUCUCAGUCUCAAUCUUGGCCACCUAUCAAGAUGUACGAAAAAUAUCUAUAAAUAAUCUAUGAGAUAUGAAGCUAGUGGAAAUUUAAUAUGAGGUGACAAGACUAUUAUCAAUUACCUGGACAUUUCCAUGUGGGUCUCUCUCAAGCAUCAGCUGCUCCUGAAUCGCUGCAGGUAGAAGAUCAAACAGCUUCAAGGAUUGCUCUGUGAGCUUCUUCUUCCACAGCCCAUCUUCAUCAACAACCUCAUUUGCCAAAAUCUCAUUCAGUUCUGCGAUCAGCUCUUGGACCUAAGAAGUCAUAAAUUACAGAACACAUCAGAUAAGAACACAAUCAUAUUAAUAGGCUUGAAAGUGGUAUAUUCUAAUAUCAGACACAAAAACACACCUCGGGGAUAAAAUCGAUCAGGCCUUCUGGAAUCAGUAUGACACCAUAGUUGAAACCAAGUUCAGCACGUUUGCAGAUAACAUCUACCAUGUAGUCCGUCACAUUCUUCAAAGUCUGCUUCUGGGCGGACACCUGCAAAAGAGUUUUUCCAGAUCAAAGCUAAGUAAAUGUAGACUGAUUGCUACUGAGACUUGUGUGAGGUCUCUCUGAAACAUUAAUUCCGAUAUUAAUAUAGAUUAUUGGCUUCAAGGAAGUGUCGUCAAAAUGAAUCUGAUAUGCAGUUUAAUUUUAACAUCAAUAAGACUCAAAUAUUUAGGGCAUUUUGAAGUCAAACAAGAGUGUACCUCUUCUCCAAUAAUUGUUAUGUUAGGGUGAGUUUGUAAAGCACACUCAAGUGUAAUGUGGGAAGCAGCACGACCCAUAAGUCGUACAACUGCAAUGAAAAUGUGAUACGACAUUGUAAGCAUCAGUAACAAAUAGGGCUUGUCAGAAAUAAAGCAACUAUAAGAAUUAUGCAACUAUAAGAAUUUCUGUUAACCAUUACUUACAAUGAUAGUACUUUCCAGUUGACCUUGCAUCAAUCAUGACAUUUCCAAUCAUUUCAGAGUAGAUCUGCAUAAGCAAUAAAAUGUUUCAAUAGGCUUCUUUUUCAAACUAUUCUUCUGGUAGAACAAACAAACAAUUAGAUUCUUGACAAGGAAUAAAAUCAAAAGCACACAAUUAGUUAUGUAACAAUUAGUAUAGGGAAAGCAAGGAAAGUCCAGAUAAAAACUGAUCCAAACGGUAUCUCACCUUGCAAGCUGUAUCAAACCCAAAACUAGUAGGAACCUCUUUACAUUUCAAAUCACCAUCAAUGGUCUUGGGGCAACCAAUGACUCGGGUUUUCAAGUUCUUACUCCUAAUAAUACAAGUAAAAAGCAAGUCAAAAUGCUGAAUCAAUAAAGCAUUAAAGAUUCUGUUCACAUGAAUCUUCAAGACCAACAACUUUGGACUAGGAUAAAUAAACAGACAUGAAACAAAUAUGACUCUGCCAGUAUUACCUGAAGUUUUCAGCAAGGAGGCAAGCAUUGGUGUUGGAGUCAUCUCCACCGAUAACCACCAAUCCAUCCAAAUCUAGCUUCUUUGCUGUUUCUUCAGCUUGUUUAAACUGCACAUGUGAGCCAUUUAUAAUUACUCACUGCAUGGAAUAGAGACUUUGGAAGCAGUAACAAUUCUUUUUAAACCACGAAAAAUAUUCAACCUGAUCAGGUGUUUCAAUCUUGUCUCUUCCACUGCAGAUCAUGUCAAAACCACCCUGUUGAGACCAAAAGAGAAUUAUAACCACAUCGACAUAAAAAGACAAGCAUAUCCAACCAAAAGGACUUAUGCUCCACUAAAUGUGGAUCAUCAUAGUGUAAAUGAUGAUUGCUUUGACUUAAAGUGAAUUAAAAAUGAUGCUGUAAGUUCUAACAUCCCAAAUCAAUCACAAAGCUCGUGAGAAGGAUCUAUAAAGUAAACAAGCCAAGUACCUGGUUUCUGUACGGGUGAAUAUAUUCAGCAUUCAACUCAACAUAUUUGCAUUUCAUGAUACCAGCUGGACCACCCUUGAAGCCGUAAAAUGUGCUUCCUUUGGCACGCUCUUGCAAGUAAUCUAAGAGCGGAAACAAAAUUACAAAUCAGGACAAUGUCAGCUAGAAUUCGACGAAAAUCAUCAUUACACACACAAAAUUAUGUCUUUGAAACCCUUACCAAACAGUCCAGAAAUGACAUUGUGCCCACCAGGUGCCUGACCACCGGACAAGACAACACCGAUCUUCAAUUUCUGUGCAGAAGAAGGUGCACUCUGAUCUGGGACCACUGCUACAGAUGGCUGGCCAUAUAGACCCGGAAACAACUUCGCUAUCUCAUCUGCAGUCAUAUCAAAGCAACUCUAAAUCCUCCAGAACACUCUAAUAAGUCUAUAAACCACAGAUCUGUAAGAAAUUUCUCAGACUCCUCUUGAGCCAUUGCAUAAUCAUAAGCCAUUAAGUUUCACCAAAAUCAUACAGUUAAUCAAUUCUCUCACCAAACUAACAAGAUCUAGAUCAAGCAAACGACACACAAAUCGAAAAAAAAAAAAUCAUCAGAUCAGACUGAUAAAAUAAUUCAAUCUCCGAUCUCUCACCUGGAUUCCCGGCUGCGGUACUAGCGGGACCUUCGACGAUUUUGAAAGCUCCUUUAAGUACAGAAGGCAAAGGGAGAGCGUUGUUAAUACGGCUUGAUUGAACUUCGCUGUAAACCGAAGCACGUCCUUUCGCCGGAGCAUUAUCCGGAGAGCCGACGGCGGCGGUGAGAUCUCGGGAUACGGCAAGAGCAGGGGCCAUUGCUGUGGGGUUUCUAUCGUUUUUCACCUAACUCACUUUGUAUUGUUUCGAACCUAAACUUUAACUUCCCUCCUUUCCUUCACUUCAGCGUCAAUGGAGUUCACUUCGAGGUCUCCGCAUUGGGGUUGGUGUGAAUUUAUACUCUGACUCAAGGGUAUAACGGUCAAUUCAAAAAUCAUUCUACUCAUUCUACAAGGCAAAGGGUAUUUUAGGGAUAUAUCGUUAGCGGCAUGUUUUACUAUGUUCAUAUCUUAAGGCCCAAUAAAUUAUAUGGGCUUUUCAGCCUUAAUAUUUAUAUCUUAUUUCAAUGUUUUGCAAUUUCAGAAUUAAAUGCAUACUCAAUUACUCAUACCGCAUGAUUCAUUUCAUACGACGAGCACACACAUGCGUAGACACGCAAACACAAUUAACCAAGAACGAUGUAUUUUAUUUGUUUACGAAAUCAUCAUAGAAUAUGAAUGUGAUUUCAUUAGCUUAUAUAAAAGCAGUAACAGUUGACAUUGAUCGUCGAUUAAUGUGUUUCCUCCUAAAAAGGAUUCAAUCAGCUCUAAAUGCACUUUUCUCUGUAGAAAUUUCUUAACCACAUUUACCACCUUUUGACUUUGUUGGUUAACUUCUUUCUUUUUAUAAAUAAAAGAAAAAUAUACGAAUGUGUGUAAUGUUUGAUAUGGAUCUCUCCAUAUUCAAAGAAAAUAAGUAAUGUUAAUAUAUAAGAGCAACAUUAUAGGUAGUAUGUUAAUUAGGGUAUCUUACAUUAAUUUAGUAUUAAAUUUGAAAAAGUAGAAUUUAGGAGUUUUAAUUUUGUUUUUAGUUUUGAGAAGUGUUUAUAGGUAGGAUCUUAAGUUGGGUAUCUUAGAAAAAAAUUAUUUUUUAAAAAAUUAAAUAAAUUUAUAAUUUGUAAUUUAAGAAAAUCUUAUAAUUAUUGCAAAUUUAGAAUUUGAUACAUACAAAAGAGAUAAAUUAUAAGAUAGAAAUUAUAACAUAAAGUACAGUAAAAAUUUAAACUUGAUUGCGAGAAAAUUUAGAGUGCUCGAUCAAAUCGUUCUUCAAUUGUUCAUGCUUAGCUCGAUCUCGAAGUCGAGUUCUAGCGGCCAUCAGAUUGACGAGAUUUGAAGGCAUAUAUUUGGUUUCAGUUCUUUGGGAAAAGUGUGUAUUAAGAUUUAAGAUACAACAAUUAUAUAAAAUAAAUAAANNNNNNNNNNNNNNNNNNNNNNNNNNNNNNNNNNNNNNNNNNNNNNNNNNNNNNNNNNNNNNNNNNNNNNNNNNNNNNNNNNNNNNNNNNNNNNNNNNNNUUGAAUCAUGACAUAAAAAUGAAUAUAUUUGAAAAAUGAGAAAAGUUAAAUCCUUAUAAUAUAGGAGUAUAACAUAGCUUUGGAAUUUGAAAUAGAUGUGACAACAUAAAUUCAAAAUUUACUAUGAUAACAAUUGUAAUAUUGAUUUACUUAACUAAACUUUUAAUUAAAAAAAAACUAAUAAAGUAUACUCUUAGUGAUUUAGUAAAUAUAAUAUAAGAAAUAUUUUACGCUGAAUAUUCAGUUNNNNNNNNNNNNNNNNNNNNNNNNNNNNNNNNNNNNNNNNNNNNNNNNNNNNNNNNNNNNNNNNNNNNNNNNNNNNNNNNNNNNNNNNNNNNNNNNNNNNGAAAAAAAAUUUUAGGGUUAAAUUAUUAAUUUAUAGAUAUUAUUAAUUUAUAGACGAUUAUUAAUUUAUCGAAUAUUAAUUUAUAGAGGUUUUACUGUAUUUGUAUCAUACGAGAAAUCCAUUCGUGUACUUUUGGCAGUUUCCGCUUGUUGAAAUUCAGUGACAUCAAACUGAGUAUACAUAUCUCGUUCAUCUUCAUCUGAGUAAAAUUUGUUUCUCACAUUAAAUAUUUAUCAUCUUAGUCAAUCAAGACUUUACAAUAAAAAAAAAAAAAAAAUAUCAAUCAAUCAGAGUCUGCCACGUAGGCGUCUCUUAACCCACCAAUGGUAUCUUCUCCAACAUACUCCAACAUAGGUAUCUUAAUAUUUAUUAUAUUUUUUGAUUAAAAUUUAAAUACUAUUAAUACUAAGAUACCCCUUAAAUCCUGCUGAUAAUGCAUAAUUGUAGUAUGAUGGUGUGAACAUAUUGUAAACAUAAAAUCUGAUUAGAAAACAAAAACGUUACAAUUGAGAAAGUACGUGAUUUGGAUAGAUAAACUAAAAUUUGAGAAAUUUGCUAAUCAGGUUAAUAAAACAAACAACUCCCUUGCAUGGAAGCUACGAUCAUCAAAGGAGAAGUAGGUGGCUAUAGCCACCGACUGAAGUUUUUUCUUUCUCAUUUUUUUGUCGUCAGUAUAGUUCAGAAGACACGAGAAAGAUAAAGAUUGAUUUAUUCUCUUUGUUACAAGAUAUUUGUUUGGCACGCUUACUAUAAUUAACGUAGGCUAUUACAACUUGGAAUUAAAUAAUCACAUCUCGUGCUAUUUUUGUUACGAAAAGAGAAAGUACUAUCAUUUCAAACUUAUUUUUAUUUUAUGUUCACUUCUUAGUGAGUUGUAUACUUUUCUUACCAAACAAUUGAAUUGUUAAAACAAUGUGGAAUCUUGUUCCUCUAUUAUGGACGGAUCCAAAGAUAACAUAUUGUAAAUUAGUUGUGGCCAAGGUUUAGCUAAACCUAUAUUAUCGAAAAAGCAACCUCAUAAAUGAUAAAGUUUGACAAAAACAAUGAUCAAGUUAAUUUGACAGAAAGAUUAACAUGUUUGUAUACUUUCUUCCCAAAAGAAACUAAAGUUACUGAUAAUUCAAAAGGACCAAAUCGUAAAACGUUCAAGUAUGUAUGGUUGGUAUGAAUUAGAGUACUAAAAUGAUUUGACGUUUCUGCAAAGUUAAAACUUUAAUUCCACAACUUUUUAUGAAGAAACAUUAAAACACCUCAUCGUACAACAUAUUUUCAGACAAGUUAAAACUAAAUUUAUCAUUUCAGUCACUAAAACCUAUUUUUAUAUUUGUGUGUACGCAUUUUACAAUGAUACGUUAGUAUAGCUAGAUAAUCAAAUAAAUAUAUAUUGCUAUUUAUCCAGAUCGAUCGUAUACUACACACUAUCCCUAGCCUUUCUUUUGCAUAUACAAUGACUCCACAAAGCACCAGUAGAUAAGAAUCUUCGAGCCUUUCUCAAUUUCCCUUACUUGUACGAACCUUAUAAACAAUUUAUUCACGUUAAUCAAGAAGCAAAAGAAAUUAACCAAUAGAAUUGCGCAAUUAGAGAUACAAAUGGAAAGCAUCAAAGUUUUUUCUAUCUCAAAAGCAGGAGAGCAGCUAGGCUCCCACCAAUUAUGUUGCACACAAUCAUAUACAACUUCCACAAACUCCUUUAACAAGAAAGAAAAAUUAAUUUUAUAUUUACCAACUUUAUUCUGAAUGACACAAUUAUAUGAUCAUACGACUCUAUGAUACUUAUCUAUCGUUUUCAUUAUUUUAUUUUAUUUUUUAAAUGAAAUAUUUGUUUUAGUUUAUUACGCCUAUAAAUAACGACCCUCUAUCAACCCUUCAACUCACACAUUUAGCAUCAUCAAGUAUCAGAAACUCAAGUUGUCAGUAAAAUACAGAGAGUUUACAGAGAGAGAGAGAGAGAGAGAGAUGGAGAAGAACAUUAAGUUUCCAGUUAUAAACUUGUCUAAGCUCAAUGGUGAAGAGAGAGACCAAACCAUGGCUUUGAUCGACGAUGCUUGUCAAAACUGGGGCUUCUUUGAGGUUCGUUUUUCUCUUUUAUUGUCCUUCUUAGUUAGAACUCCUUUGGUAUUGUCGUAUAUAUAAAACUUACUAUAUAAAACAAUAUAUCAAAUCAUUUUUCUCUUUUUGGGACGUUAUAAUUCUAAAGUCUUGUAACUAUUUCAGCUGGUGAACCAUGGACUACCAUAUGAUCUAAUGGACAACGUUGAGAGGAUGACAAAGGAACACUACAAGAAACAUAUGGAACAAAAGUUCAAAGAAAUGCUUCGAUCCAAAGGUUUAGAUACUCUUGAGACCGAAGUCGAAGAUGUUGAUUGGGAAAGCACUUUCUACCUCCGUCAUCUCCCUCAAUCUAAUCUCUACGACAUCCCUGAUAUGUCAAACGAAUACAGGUACACAAAAAAUAUAUAGAUUUAGCCUUAAAAUCACAGCUCACAUGCAUGAAAAGAAAAACUAAACCAUUCGUUUGUUUUCGAUGUUUCUUUAACAGAACGGCGAUGAAGGACUUUGGGAAGAGGGUGGAGAAUCUAGCAGAAGAGCUGUUGGAUUUGUUGUGUGAGAAUCUUGGAUUGGAGAAAGGGUACUUGAAGAAGGUGUUUCAUGGGACAAAGGGUCCAACUUUUGGGACAAAGGUUAGCAACUAUCCACCAUGUCCUAAACCAGAGAUGAUCAAAGGGCUUAGGGCUCACACGGAUGCAGGAGGCCUCAUUUUGCUAUUUCAAGAUGAUAAGGUCAGUGGUCUCCAGCUUCUCAAAGACAAUGAUUGGCUUGAUGUUCCUCCUCUCAAGCAUUCCAUUGUCAUCAACCUUGGUGACCAACUUGAGGUACAUAAAUUAUCAUCCGGUUAUUUAUUGCUCUUUUAAUAUGGUUUAAUCCCGGUUAACCACUUAUCUUAUUCAUAAAAUUGUGACUAGGUGAUAACAAACGGGAAGUACAAGAGUGUAAUGCACCGUGUGAUGACACAAAAAGAAGGAAACAGGAUGUCUAUCGCGUCGUUCUACAACCCAGGAAGCGAUGCCGAGAUCUCUCCUGCACCAUCUCUUGUGGUGGAUGACAAAGACUCAAAGUACCCGAGCUUUGUGUUUGACGACUACAUGAAACUCUAUGCGGGACUCAAGUUUCAGCCCAAGGAACCAAGGUUCGAGGCGAUGAAGAAUGCUGCAGUAGCCGCGGAGUUAAAUCCCGUGGCAGCCGUCGAAACAUUCUGAACUGGAUGUGGGAUACUCUUAUGAAGGCUACAAAGAUAUGAAGAUAACAAAAAUAUGGGUUUGAUAUGGUGUGGUAUUAGUAAUUUCAAUAAGUGAAAAAGAGUGUUUAAGGAUUGAUAAUGUUAGUAAAAUCUAGUGUGUGUUAACUAACCAUUAAGCAAGCGUGGGAGUGCUUUUUUUUGUAUGCAAUAAUUGUGUGGUUUAAAUAUCGAAGAUGAAUGAAACUAAGAGGGUUACAUACAGUAGGCCUAUAUAUAUAAAUGUUCGGCCCAAAGGCCCAACCCAAUAACAUUGUCUUCGAGAGUUGUUUUCUAGGGCAUCAUCACUCACUCUGUAUCAUACACUAUAAAUACCUCCCUGCAGACCUAGAGCCUAACUAUCACACGAUUUCUGUAGGGUUGUGAAUGUUGUUAAUUAGUUUUUUCUCUAGAUUAGAUCUGGAUUUUAAAAGUCUUAUUGGUUUGAUUUUGUAAAGAAAGAAACCUCGGGGUUGAUAAAAACGGGCAAGAGAGAGUAACGGUGUCUCUGUGUCCUUAAAGAACCGGCGAGGGAAACUAAUCUGGCCGAGAUAUAUCGUUUCUGUCGUUCUUUUUUCUGGUUAACGAUCUGAUUGUUACUCGUCCACAUCUGAGUUUUUAAAAACUUGUUUUUCGUUAUAAUCGUUUUGCUCAAAAAUAUUGAAUGCGAAUGAAGAAUUUUAUUAUUUUCUUCACUUUGAUCCGAUUGGAUAAUUUUUAUUAUCUCUGUGGACAAAUGAUUCAGAUUGACUGACGCAUUCAUCUUUUUGAUUGAUCGUGUAUUAUAUAUUCUUAGGUUCUCGUUUUUUUUAUUUAUCUUUUUUGUUAGUUUUGAAUUGAAAUUUCUUAAUCGAGAUUUGGAUUUUCGACAAAUCAGUUUUAAGACCAUGAUGUGAAUAAGCAAACUAAUAAGAGUUAUAUACAAAAAAAAAAACAAAAUAUCCUAAAAUUAGUGAAGACUUCAGUCAGUAAUUUACAAUGAACAAAAUGAUCAAAACAGUGUUUACUGAUGGAAUUAGUUUGUAGUUUUGAUCUUACAAAAACUAAUUUGAUUUCCAAGAUUGAAUUAGUGACUUCAUUUGGACAAACUAGUGCAGCUAUGGAUAAAACCCAGUAAAAUGAGAAUAAUGCAGCGAAAUCUUAUGUAACAGUAAUAAUCCAAUAAAAAUUAAAAGAAAAAAGAUUGAAUAAAGUAAAGUUUGUAAAAUGUUAAUCUUGAAGAUCAUAGUCAAUAUUUCAAAAUGUAUAUGUAAACCAUUGAGGAACUCGGGUGUUGUCUCACAGCUAAAUUACAAUGGUACACAAUUUAGUUGGAUCUUUUGAUAUAUUGAAGGCCCUAUCAAAAUCAGAGAUUGGACCCUUGACCGGCCCAUCUAGAGAUCCUUAUUGCAAUAUUUUGUGUGUGGUUUGGUUUGGGCGACGGAAUCAGAAAGAAAAGUCUCUCUACGACGAGUAGUACAGGAGGUGAAACAGAGGAUCUCUCAUAUUCUCUAACGAGUCAAUAACUCGUAUACCAAAGAAUGAUUCAUUGUCAACAGUAGUUACUUCAAUACGUUAUAAUCUAAUAACGUGUUUUACGUAUAGUAGAACACUGACCAAGCCUAAAAAAAAAGAAGAUGCUAUUUGCAGCAGAGCAGGCACACAUAUGUAAAACGAGUCAAAGACGUUGCGUUGAGAUUUUUUAGUACUACCAAACCAAAGUCUUUUUUUACUGCAAAUAAAACCUCUCAAUCACGUCUCAGUCGUAAUGUGACAAAGCUCCUCUGACAUUACAUAUUUUAUUUUUACACAUGAAUAAUUAGAAACAUCAAUAUGACGAUGACAACUUUUCCUCUGGCAUCAUCUAUUUUUAAUCAAUGAAAAAGGUACAAUAAAAAACAUUUCAAUAAUUCUUGAAUACUAUCGCAUGCGAAAUUUUGUUAAUAGUACGAUUAUUAAAGAUUACCUGAAAUUGUCAGGAUAUAUGAAUUUGUAAGGCCAUCAUUAACGGGAUAUUCUUUCAGAUUUUAAAGUAUUAAAAUAAUAACAAAAUAAUAAAACAGUAACAUAAAAUGUAGAAGUCGGGUUUUGGUUAACAUCUUUUUGGUUGGGAUGUUAGAUGAUAUGGCAAGUACUGAGUGGAUCUUCUUUUAUUAUUCUCCAACAUCUCCUAUUAACAUAUUAAUUUACUGUUUCUAAGCCAUAUCCUCUCAGCUCUCCUGAUAAUGAUGCCCUAAUAUGUGUGCUUUUCAUUUGGUCACUGUUUUAGUCACUACAAUAGUUUAGUUUCGAACUAAACCAUAUUUAGUUAUAGAUGAUAGUUCGUUUGGUUCAAACAAAAAUACUUGUCAUUGAGAAAUGUGUGUUUAAAGUGUUUACACCGAGACAAGAGCCAUUAUGUCUCCUCUUUUCUAUUUUCUUUUUGACAAACCCAAUGUUGGAAAUCCGCAUUUCUAGGAUUUAGUUCCCUCUAUAAAAUGUUGAAUUACCCCAUUUUAGUUUAAUGUUUACCCAAGAGACAAGAAUGAUGAUCAGAUCAUUUUUUCUAAUACUACUACUUUUACUUUGUUUAAAUAUUUUGCAAUGGAUUUUCUUUCAUUUGUAUAGGUCAAUUUUAGUAAAUAAGUCUCUCUGUAAAAAAAAAAUACUGCAAAUGAUAAGUAUGUUAAAAAUGUUGUUUAUUUUUUACCUAUUUAGAAUUGGAUUCGAAAAAACAAAACGAGGAAGAAAAAAUAUUUGUACGUAGAAGAUAAGGCAUAGGGGUCCAGUAUUAUUAUUCUCCAAGUUGCAUGAAAUCCCAAAAAAAAAAAAAAAAAAACAUCAGAUAAAGGAAUACCAAAUCAGAACCAUGAUUACCCAAACAAAAUUGAUGUUUAACUAAAAAUUAAGAAUAAAUAAUGGAUAUUACAUAAUAAUUAGCUGAAAAUAUAUAAAAAGCUUGGAGAAGAGCUAAUGUGACAAUAAUAAUAGAAAUAUACCGUAUGAGUCAAAUACUUCAAAAGGUGUUUACUUUAGACCAACCACUUAAUCACUUUCCAUAUAACAUGUUGGACGGUCAAAUAAUUUCUAUACUUUUUUUUUGGUCCAGAUUUUUUUGUUGGUACAGUAAAACAAUAAAAAUAAAAACUCUCCCUGAACUUCCUUAACCAAACCGUACAUCAUAUGGGCGUAUGAUUAAUUAGUGUUUCUAGUCAAAGUUGUUAGAGAAUUAUGUUCUUGUGUAGACGAUCUGAUUAGAACGUAAAAGUGAGAAGUCUAACUCAAACUCGAUCGACACGUCUAACAAAAAGCUCUAAGUGAUUAUCUUUUUUUUUUCUUGAUAUUCCAUUUCAGUUUGUAGCAUAUCUGUAUUCCAAGGAAUGGGAGUUUAGUUUAGUGUUUGGACUUUAAAGGCUUUGGUGAAAGAGAUCAAAAGAUUGAGUGAUCCGGAAAGGGCAAAAAUGUACAGACAAAUAAUGUGACAACAACAAUUCAUGGGCCUAGCAUAUGUGAACGGCUGUGGUGGUGGGCAGCACAAAAGAUGUCUUUCCACUGGAAAUAUAUAUUAUUUAGUUACUUUAGUAGUAUUACACCAUACAAAGUGAUCCUAGAACCUAGUAAAGGAAUAGAUUAAUCGAUUACACAUGUCUAGCUACCAGCAAGUAUCUAGGAAGUAACAAUUCUACUUUGUAUUGUUCUCAAUAAUAUAGUGUAUAUAAUCUUUGACGGUAAUAAAUAACUGAUGCAAAGUUUAAAUAUUUAAUAUCGUUUAAUUUGUGGUCACACCGUAAUAGUUAAUGCGCAUAUCUUUAAACGUAGUAUUAAAUACGUACAAUUUUACCGAUGUUAUAAUACAAUGAUACUUUGGUCGCAUUAUAGACACAAUUAAAUGAUUCCACAGGAAAACUUUCGGAGGUAAUCUAUAAUAACAUGUUGGCCUAUAGAUAUCAUCCAAGUGAAUUUUUAAUAAAUUCACAACAAAGAAAAGAAGAAAAAAAAACAUUUUUAGCUUUUUUAUUUCAUUAAACUUUUUUCUAAGCCUUUUUUUUAUCGGCAAAAAAUUUCUUAUCCCCAAACACCAAAAACUUUCUCACCAAUGAAACUCACAAAUCUCCUUACGGUUCCCUUAUCCUCCUCCUCCGCCUCAAGAUAAGCAUCUCCGUCACAAAAUUCCUCCGUUGGUUCUAAACCUCCGUUGCAACCAUCAGCUAACUCACUUGAAUUAGAACACGGACAAGAAUUCACAACAGACACACCGAGUCGACUCGGAAUCUCCGAAUCAUCCGUACCAAAGCUAGAGCUAGUAGCAAGAAGUGUAGAAGAAGAAGAAGAAGACUUCCCAGAGCGCUUUCUCCGAUCUUUCUUACCACUCACGUUCUUCUUUUUGUUGCUGUUCUUCUUCUUCUCCAAGCUAUCUUCGAAAGCGUCGAUGAUUUCGUGAAUAAGCUGACGACUCGGUGACGUAUCCCAUCUGACCCAGUAACUCGUGUAGCAGCUGAAACAGUCACAGUGGAAGAGAGGCGAGUGAUGGUCGAAAUGGGCUUUCUUGUGGGCUUUUGUCUUAUCUAGACGAGAGCUAGGGUUUCGGUCGCCGGAGUAAGUAGCGGUUGAUAUGAGAUAAGCCAGAACUUCACGGUCUUCCGGAGAGAGAACCGCCGCUAGUGAGAAGAUAGCGACCGGAAGAAGAGAUAAAAGGUUUUCGUCGGAUUUUAUCUGCGGCGGCGACGGGUGUACGGUUCCUUUCCUGUAGAGCUUCUUCAUAUUGUAGUUUUCUAUGGAAGAGAGAGAAUGAAAAAGGAGAGAGAGAGAGAGACUUGUGUAAGAAGAUGUUAUCGAGACUUUAAAUACCGAAAGGUUUAUUAGGUUUUGUCUGUUUCGGUAUUGUUUUAUAGUUAUUGUCUUUCGUCUUAAAAAUCCACCGUCUUAACGUUUGUUUAGUGGCAAAACUAGGUUUAAGGCUUAAACCAUUCGACCAUUUUUGAUUUUUCAUCAAAUUGGAUAACAAAAUUAGCCAAGUAAAAAAAUGUUUAAAGUUUUUAUUUGUUUCUAGACCAAUUAACCAAUUUUGACGGCUGGCUUUAUAAGACCAAUUUACGAACUUAACUCAUCUUUAUUGGAUAGACAUUAAGUCAUGUUCCGAUUAAUGCUUAUCAAAUUUUUUAAGCAUUAACUAGAAUUUAAUUUAUGAAAUGAUCCUAAACUGGAUAAAAUCGUUAAAUAGAUGAGAAUCAAACGCACCACACUCGAAUAAUCAGUUCAAUGGAAACAUUGAAUGAGAUGUUAAUGAGAUAAGUUGGUCUCCACUUCUUCCGAUAUAGUGAUAUACUAAUAACAGUUGUUUCAUUAUUACAACUCUGAACUGAAUCUCAUAUAAGCUACUUUUCCCGAUCAAGCCUUUGAUAUUUUAGUUUAUCACUAAACAAAUCGGGAGUAGUCUUUUACUCUUUUGAUAUGUAAUCGUGAUUUCGGAAUCUGAUAGAGCCAGGCCAAUAACGGGCCGAAGGUGAAAAGCCCAUUAAAAAUGUUGCCUAAACAGAAUAAUAUAGACCACUACAACUUAAAAUAAGUUGGUAGUAGCCAAACAAACACUUUGUAGAUAAUUGCUUCUCUAAUAAACCCCCAAAACUUACCUAUAUUUACAAAAAUAUUGGAAAAAAACACUUAAACAUCAACUCAUAGAGCCUAUACUUUUUACUCUAGAAUACAAUAUCUACAACCCGACUACACUGUCGUUGAAAGCCACCGUAAGCCGUCCAACCUUCAAACCACUCCUCUUACUCUCCCUCUCUUUAAAACCAUUAAACGGUGUGGUUUUAACCAAUUCUUCAAACCCUAUGCGCGGUCCACAGUCACAGCUCUUAACCCUACUCACCACUUCGUUAGAGGUUCGUUUGUAGUGACCGAACCACUUGGCUUGCAUAUAACCGUUCCUUCUCCAUGGCGGCACGAAAAUCUCCGCUCGCUUCAUUGACCGUCUCAUCUCAAAGCACAUGAUCCUCACAAGCUGUUUCAGCUCCUCAGGUGUUCCCACAAAGACACGCGGCAGUUGAGCUAAGAGGGAGAGGUAUCUUGUCGUUGGCCUAGCAAUCUCGAACUCUCCGGCGAGAUUUGUCUCGACAAUGUAACGUUUCUUAUCUCCUGCUAUCACGUCGACGUACUCAUACUUCCCGGCCGUGUUCUUACCAAAUUUCUCCCACCGGGACUUGCAGAGACCUAUACACAUAGAAUCAUCUUUUCAUUUCAGUAUAUUUGCACAUUUAAAUCCAAAACAUGUACAUAUCAAAAAUGUGAAUAUUACAAGCUUACAACAUCAUAUAAGAUUAAAAAAAAUUAACAUACGAUAAUUGUUCUUAAACAAUCCAAAGAUUUUUUUUGGCACUAAAUCUCACUAAAUUUCAAAUGCUUAAGUGUUAGGAUACAACAUUUACAUCUAUAUAUAUCCUAAUUAGGGAAAAAAUACUUACAGUAACCAGGAACGCUUUAUAAGAAUGAAAUGACAAAUCAACCUCAAAGCUAAAAUGUGCUACUCUAUUGAUAAAAGCGGUUUUCCAAUCUCAAUAUCAAAUUUACUUCUUAAUCAUGUUUUGUAAUCUCUAAACCAAACAUAUUCCUUCCAGAGCUUAUUUGUUUUAGAUAGUUCAAGUACCUAUAAUUAAAAUAGAAAAACUCAAAUGACCAAAACUCUAUGAGCUUAGCUAGGUAGAAGAGUCAACAACCAUAUCUCAAACGGAUUUGAGAUAUCAACAAACUUAACCAAUCCCUCAAAAUCAAACACAUACGAAUGUAAUUUCAUGUAAACAUAAGAGUCAUAGAGAUCGUUUUUAUUACCUGCAUCAAACCCUUUGCCACGUAGAUAAGCCACAAGGUGACGUUUCUCUCCGACCACGAAACGACUAGCAUUAACCGCCUCAUCCACUAUCCUCCGCCGCUCUUCGCCUCCGUGAUUUUCAAGAAUCUCACGAAGCCUCUCCUUCACAUCUUCGUAAUCCUCAUCCGACUUAUCAUCUCCUUCCUCAGGAACCUCCUCAUAUCCCGCUUCCACUUCUCUGUCGAUAAAAGAUUCGACCAUAUCCCAAAGAUCCGCUGUGUCAUCCGGAGAGUGAUCGCUGCCGCUGCUGCUACCGUACGGAGGACGUGCACGCGCCGCCGCCACGUCGAAAGCCGCCGCUGUUCUUGUAAACCUUCCCCCAAUCUCUACCAUAUUUUAUGUCCUUCUCUUGAUUUCUCCUCUUAUUCGUCGAAUUGUAGUGUAUAUUUAUACACUCGAAUAUUAAUUAUUAAGUGAUGUUUUCAUUGUGUUGACAGCGACUUUGACUUUUUUGACGGCGUAAACGACAAAUGGUAAAAAUAUGACAACAGGAUGGUGAAAUGAUGUUGAAAUAGAGAUUAACGGCGUUUUGUUGGGUAACGGAGAAAAUAAUUACAGUUUUUGAGAUGUGCUAGCUUGAUUAACUUUUAGAUUCUCAAUUGUCACCACUAUAUUGGCCAAAUACAUUCGCUCUCAAACGAAUAAUAUUUAAAAAAACACUUAAAUAUUAAUGGUAAGUCUUUUUUUGUUCAACAAAAUAUUAAUGUUAGUCAAUUUUAGUAAAGUGAAUUGUUCUAGUUUCGGAAAAAAGAGAUGGAUAGUUCUAUAAUUGCUACUCGUUACUAAACUCCACUUUCAGAAAUAUAAGUAAAAUAUUUUCUUCUCUGUUUAUUCACUAAAUUCGUUUACAUUUUCAGAUUCUGACCUAUAAAUUAGAAUAAUUUCUACUAUUUGACUAUUUUUGUUUUACUAAACGGAUGCCACUGUGGUGCCACGUGGCGAAUCGUGGUUAGACUUAGAUCUUUGGUCUUGUACUAUUAUUUUUUUUUACUUCUGUAGAUUUUGCUGAUGUAUGUUACAUCUGACGCGGAGACCAGAAGUAGAGAAAACUCAAAACACGUCCAAGUGCAUUGAAUUCGAAAAAUAGUCUAGGUUCAACGUAUCCAAGGUUUCUCUUCGUUCGUUUGGUUUGUCCAAGUUUUAAGAUGGUCAUGCAAUUAUUAGUUGAGUAUAUUAAAUUGUCACCGGUGAUACUUGAUACAGAUGGAAACUUAUCCAUUACACGUGAUGGCACUAGUUUUUGGUUUUGAUUUAUUUUUAGACAAAUCUCUAAUUUUGUAUUCACGUUUAGAGAAUAGAGAUUGAAGGGAAAAAAAAAACGAUUUUGUGGGCUUUUAUUGUAAAAUACAAUAUGUUGGGCCGAACUUUGACUCGUGGUGGCUAUAAUCCUGCUAGCUUUUGUGUCCAUUUUUGAGUAUACUGUAAAUGUGUAACUGUAAUGUGCUUGAACGUUGACCAACGAUCAUAUAUGGGUUUGGUGAUUAGUUCUGAAUUUAGUGCCACAAAACUUUUAUAAUCCUUAAUGAACUGAUCAUAUAGUACUAGUCUAAUUUGUGUGUGCCUUUUUUGUUUCUUGUCUAGUUUUAGUAUAAUAUAACAUGUCCAGAUAUAUUUUACAGUAAUCUCUUGCAUUAAUUGCAAACUUAUACACACUUUGUAUAUGAACAAGGCCUCUGUUGAUAUAGUUCAACGUGAGGGUCUGAGGCUCUUUAGGCAAUGUCAUUGCUUCAGGCGAAGUCAUUGAACCAACAAAACAGAGAAUUGACGAACAAAAAGUUAAUAUUUGUGAAUUGUGGUCAGUGGAGUAAAUCACAUUCAGACAUCACCUUAACCUAAAGACAUGGAUGAAGGCAAUUUUUUCUUCUUCUUUGAUCUCUUUCGAAAAUAUACAAAACCGACAUACUAGUUUCUUAUCAAAUUUACAAAGUCAUGAAGGAAGUAGUUUUGAGUAUAGACAUACUAUAAGUUGAGAAACAGUAGAACCAAUGUACAUUACUCACUGAAUAAAGAAAUAUACAUUUUGCAAACAUAUAUGAGAAAGACUAAUUAAAAUGACCAUUUUCUUUGAUUAUAUCUUUACACUUAUCAAGUUUGCUUGAGUUUAUGAAAUGUUGUUUGUUAUAGUUAAUUAUGGAGAUUUUCAGGGACAAAAAUCAUCUUCUCGAGAGUAUUUGAGACAACCCUAUAUAAACCCUUCAAUAUCACAUGAUGUACAAUUGUCAGAUUUGCUUAUUUAACUACCCACACAUUGCUUAAAUGUGAGGUAUUUAGCUCAAUUUAUAUAUGUCGAAUAUAACCACAUAAUGUAUCUUUUGAUUGUCUUUAAAUUUUUCUUUGAUCAGGCGAAUGCACAACUUUUUCUGUGAUUUCGCUUCGGUGAACUUUUACCCAGGGGGUCACCUAUUUUUAAGUACCACUUUGAGAUUUCUUGGUCAUAGGUAUAUAUCUACGUGGCUUUUAAGACACUAUAAAGAAUGAAAUCAAAUAGUUUAUGAUCACCAUAUAUACAUGAUACUUCAAAUUAUUCUACAAGCCAAAAAAAAGAUAUGGACCAUGCGGUUUUAUGUUAGCAACUCACCUUUAGGAAGACUUGGCAUAACUGAUGAACAACUCUUAUUCAUUGGAUUGAAAGAUCUAAGGAAUGGUUAUAUACACGUUUUGUGACAGACAUGCGUCCAAGUUUUGUUCCCAUUUGGUCGUGCGUCCAGGUUUGUCUUUCUUUGACCGCUUCUAAUUCCAUAGAUCGUGCAGUGCUGUCAUUUUGAGUUAUCAACAUACAUAACUCUAUAUUUUGAAACAUACACCACUCCAUCUUUUAUAUGAUUUAACGUUGACGGCUGAUUAUUAUAUUAUACAACAGCAAAGAAUCUUUAGGAACGUGCAUCCAAGUCUGAGAAACUCAGUGACGAUGGUUAAUUUCAUCUCCGCGCAAAGGUCAGCUCUUUUGGUCUUCUCUACGUUUCCCUCAACGUGUAAACAUGUCACCAAUUGACAAAUUCAGAUUUAAGAAAAAAGUAAGGAAAACUGGAGAGAGAAAGUGAUACGACUUUUUGAAUUUCUAAACUGUUUUAUAAAGAUGAAGCACAUAGAGAUAUUAGAUGUUCAUAAUUAGCAAAAUUGGGUUUCUUGACCCAUAAGCAAUGUUGUUCCCUCCUAUCCGUUCCUUCUUCUUCCUCUUCCUGUUGUUCUCCUCCCUUUGUUUAUCACAGAUCAAAGCAGACGACGACGAUGAAAGCGGCUUGGGCAGUCAUAUCAAAGUAGACAAGCGUCUCAAGUUCGAGAACUCGAACCUACGUGAAGCCUACAUUGCUCUCCAGUCAUGGAAACAAGCAAUCUUCUCUGAUCCUUUCAACUUCACAGCUAACUGGAAUGGCUCUGACGUUUGCUCCUACAAUGGAAUCUACUGUGCCCCUUCUCCUUCAUACCCUAAAACCAGAGUUGUUGCAGGCAUUGACCUCAACCACGCUGACAUGGCUGGUUACUUGGCUUCCGAGCUUGGUCUCCUUACCGAUCUCGCUCUGUUCCAUCUUAACUCAAACCGUUUCUGCGGCGAAGUCCCUCUCACGUUUAAGCGUAUGAAGCUUCUCUACGAGCUUGAUCUUAGCAACAACCGAUUCGUCGGUAAGUUCCCUAAGGUUGUCCUCUCUUUGCCUUCCCUUAAGUUCUUGGAUCUCCGCUACAACGAGUUUGAAGGCAAGAUCCCGUCAAAGCUCUUCGACAGAGAGCUUGACGCUAUAUUCUUGAACCACAACAGGUUCCGGUUUGGGAUUCCCUCGAACAUGGGGAAUUCCCCUGUUUCCGCUUUGGUUCUUGCGGACAACAAUCUCGGAGGAUGUAUCCCUGGAAGUAUUGGUCAAAUGGGGAAGACACUCAACGAGCUUAUCCUCUCCAACGACAACUUAACCGGUUGCUUACCUCCCCAAAUCGGAAACCUCAAGAAAGUGACAGUUUUUGACAUCAGCUCAAACAAUCUACAAGGUCCGUUACCAUCUAGCGUCGGCAACAUGAAGAGCUUAGAAGAGCUUCACGUGGCUAACAAUGGCUUCACAGGAAUCAUUCCUCCAAGUAUCUGCCAGCUUUCUAACCUUGAGAACUUCACUUUCUCUUCCAACUUCUUCACCGGUCGUCCUCCUCUAUGUGCAGCUACUUCGUUAGUCGACGCUGUAGUGAACGGCUCCAUGAACUGCAUCACCGGUUUGGCUCGGCAAAGAUCGGCUAAGCAAUGCUCAUCUCUGCUUGCUCGUCCUGUUGAUUGCAGUAAGUUUGGAUGUUAUAACAUCUUCUCUCCACCACCACCAACGUUCAAGAUGGCACCACAGUUCCGGACACUUCCUCCCCCGGUUUACGUGUACUCAUCCCCUCCACCACCGUCAUCCAAGAUGUCGCCUACCGUCAGAGCAUACUCUCCUCCGCCACCACCGUCGUCCAAGAUGUCGCCUACCGUCAGAGCAUACUCUCCACCACCGCCUCCAUAUUCCAAAAUGUCGCCUACCGUUAGAGCUAACCCUCCACCACCGCCUUACGUAUACUCAUCUCCUCCGCCACCUUAUGUGUACUCAUCUCCUCCACCACCUUACGUAUACUCAUCUCCUCCUCCACCGUACGUAUACUCAUCUCCGCCUCCGCCAUCACCAUCUCCUCCUCCACCGUACGUAUACUCAUCUCCGCCUCCGCCUUACGUAUAUUCAUCUCCACCCCCGCCUCCUCCAAGUCCACCUCCGCCGUGUCCUGAAUCGUCUCCGCCACCGCCUGUUGUAUACUACGCACCCGUGACUCAAAGCCCGCCACCACCAUCGCCGGUAUACUACCCACCAGUAGCACAAAGCCCGCCACCACCGUCGCCGGUAUACUAUCCACCAGUAACAAACUACAGUCCUCCACCACCAUCACCAGUAUACUAUCCGUCGGAAACACCAAGUCCUCCACCACCAUCACCAGUAUACUAUCCGUCGGAGACACCAAGUCCUCCGCCACCAUCACCAGUAUAUUAUCCGUCGGAGACACCAAGUCCACCACCACCAUCACCGGUAUACUAUCCGUCGGAAACACCAAGUCCCCCACCACCGACUGAGUACUACUAUUGGCCAAACCAGUCACCGCCGCCAACAAAGGGAUGUAAAGAAGGCCAUCCACCACAAGCAUCACCGAGUUACGAACCAACUCCUGAAUAUUCAUACUCAUCAUCACCCCCACCGUCUACUCCAUCAUACUCCGACACGUCUCUUCCACCUAUUCCAAGUGUCUCGUAUGAUGCGUCUUCUCCUCCUCCUCCGUCUUACUACUAGUUUCAAAACCAUUGAGAACAAAAAAAAAAAAUGCAUUAACGACUACUCACAAUUAUAUUCUUUUGGCUGCGAGACUUUUAAAGUUGUGUGUUUGGUUGAUUUUUUCUAAAAAAUACAUUCGAGUUAUUUUUCUUUCUAUUUCUUCUGGAUAUUUUGUUAUCUUUUUUCCCCUAACACAGAGCUGCAUUUAGCAGCAAUGGAGUAUAUAGUUUCAGUUUUAUCUAUCGUAUCUGUAUUUGUUAUUAAUGUCAUUAAAAAAUGUUCUGUAUAAAUAAUAAAAAUAAUAAAUACACACUCAUUUAACAGUUUCUUUGUACCUCAAAAUUAAAAAUUCAGUUUUAAUUUAGUAAAAAAUGUAAAUAUGACGUCAACUUCUCAGUGUUCAUCUCAAGAACGGCAGCUUAAAAAAAAAUCUAUACGCUACCUACCACUUCGAAACAACUGUCCUCUCUUUCUAUAAGCUACUGGAAUUUGGGAAUUAGCUUGGGAAACUUCGCCGGAGAGUCAUACAUCGUCGCAUUCUAGUGUCUUCAUGGCGUUGCUGAAGUCCUUUAUCGAUGUUGGCCCAGAGUCGCACUUCCCUAUCCAGAAUCUCCCUUAUGGUGUCUUCAAGCCGGAAUCGAACUCCACUCCUCGCCCUGCCGUCGCUAUUGGCGAUUUGGUACUGGACCUCUCCGCGAUCUCCGAAGCUGGGCUUUUUGAUGGUCCGAUGCUCAAGGACGCUGAUUGCUUCCUUCAGGUUCGUUUUUCUCGAUUCCUAUUAACUCGGAUUACUAUGUAGUAGUUACCUGGGAACGUAUCCGUGGAUGGUUUCAAAUUUGGUAUUUGAAUCAUAUACUUUCUCUAGUUUACUCCACCGUUAAAAUUGGUGAGUAGCUCUGGAUUGCGUCACCGACCAAUUAUUCACUGUAUUUAGCCAAUUUCGUUUAGCUCGGAAAAUUCUGAUGUUCUUCUAAAUUUCUCGUUGCUUCAGUUGGUACACUUUGAGUUUUCUGAUCACGGUUCUGAACUUUUGCCAACCAUGAUUGAUGGGUCUGAUGUGAUAUUUCCCUUCUUUUAUGAUCUGAUGGUUAUAGUUUUGUGCUUACACUAAGCUAUUUCUUUAUAAGGAUGAGGUUCUGUUCAUGUUCUAGUCAAUCUCUUUGUUUGUUAAUGUUUUAAGUUUCUGUGGCUCUGUUUACAGCCUAAUUUGAAUAAGUUCUUGGCCAUGGGACGGCCUGCGUGGAAGGAAGCGCGUUCUACGCUUCAAAGAAUUUUAUCAUGUAAGCUCUGUUUGAUCAUAUUGAUUCGUGUAAAUUAUGCGUGGUUUGUUAUUUGGCUUUUUAAGGUUUGGGUUUUUGUAUGUUUUUGAUGCAGCUAAUGAACCCAUCUUACGAGAUAAUGAUGUUUUGAGGAGAAAGUCAUUCUAUGAGAUGGUUAGUACAGAAAAAAAUUUGUUUCUGCAACAGGCUAGAUGAGAUUGUUUGAAGCUAUUUUACUAAUGAUGUCUUUGUUUGGUGAGGAUUUGCAGAAUAAAGUAGAAAUGAUUGUUCCUAUGGUGAUUGGGGACUAUACAGACUUCUUUGCAUCUAUGCAUCAUGCAAAGAACUGCGGACUUAUGUUUCGUGGACCUCAAAAUGCAAUGAACCCAAAUUGGUGCGUUUAUAUUACUUUUGAGCUGAGAGUUUUCUUCAUGAAAUGGUCAAGAUUAGGAAAGGCUGACUUUGCAAAUUUUACAUGACAUUACCAUGUUUUUCAGGUUUCGUCUUCCCAUCGCAUAUCAUGGAAGGGCAUCAUCGAUUGUCAUCUCUGGGACCGACAUUAUUCGACCAAGGUUAGGCAAUUGUGUGUUUAUUAUCUGUUUUUUGGUUUUUAUACUGAGAAUGGUUGUUAAGGAUUCACAUGUCAUAUCUAAAGUCAUGCAUCAUGCAAGGUUUUAUGCUUUGACAAUAAAAAUAGUUGUUCUUAAUUUGUGAGAAUAUAUUGAAACUGAUUUGGAAAACUCAAUACUGAAAUGCUAAUUCCAGUUUUAUAUUAACUUGUUUUGUAAUCUUCAAGAGGUCAGGGCCAUCCACAAGGAAAUUCUGUCCCAUAUUUUGGACCAUCUCAGAAACUUGAUUUUGAGCUUGAAAUGGUAAGCAUCUGAUGCCUCAGUUAUGUGGAUUCUCUUAAGAAUGAUUCAAUUGAUGCUAGUUUGUGUUACUUAAGCAAAUCUCUCUUUUGUCACAUGAUAUUCAGGCUGCUGUGGUUGGUCCAGGAAACGAAUUGGGAAAGCCUAUUGACGUCAAUAAUGCAGCCGAUCAUAUAUUUGGUCUAGUGCUGAUGAAUGACUGGAGUGGUACUUACUUGAUCAUAGUAUUUGCUGAGUCAUCCAUUUAAGUUGACCGUGCAUGACCGGUUUUAUGAAAUGCUUGUUGUUAACUUGUUAUAGCUAGGGAUAUUCAGGCGUGGGAGUAUGUGCCUCUUGGGCCUUUCCUAGGGAAGAGUUUUGGUGAGAAAUUAGUAUCCAAGCUUGAUAUUGGGCUUCAAAACUUCAAUUUCGUUUACUCUAAUUGGAGUAUUUGAGGAAGGAACUUCAGUGAAUGUUGAUUUGUUGUGUUGUAGGGACUACUGUAUCCCCUUGGAUUGUUACCUUAGAUGCGCUUGAGCCUUUCGGUUGUCAAGCUCCCAAGCAGGUUGGUACUUAGGCAUCACAUUCUUCUUGGUGCAAUGCAAUCAUUGAUUCUCUAAUCUAACAUAUGCUUUUUGCAGGAUCCACCUCCAUUGCCAUAUCUGGCUGAGAAAGAAUCUGUAAAUUAUGACAUCUCUUUGGAGGUAGCAUUCAAUAUUUACCCGUAGAGUUUAAUUUGUUUUCACUAUCAAGUAUCAACUAGCUUAUGGUGGAUUAAAUCAAAAAUAAACAUGAUUUGUUUCUCUGCUUAUAGGUUCAACUAAAACCUUCUGGCAAAGAUGAUUUAUGUGUAAUAACAAAGAGCAACUUCCAAAACUUGUGAGUUCCUCUUACCCAGUCCCUCUAUAAUUAAUCAGUAUGAUUCUAACUCAUUUAAACUUAUGUUGACAGAUACUGGACUAUCACGCAGCAGCUAGCACAUCAUACAGUUAAUGGUUGCAAUUUGAGGCCUGGUGAUCUCCUUGGAACGGGAACUAUAAGCGGACCUGUAAACUCUUUCAAACCUACUCACUUCUCUGCUUAAGGAUGUGAUGGCUAAAAAUAACAAGAAGGAUAUGUGUUUCUUGAUUCUUAACGUAGGAGCCAGAUUCAUAUGGGUGCCUACUUGAGUUAACUUGGAAUGGACAGAAACCUCUAUCACUCAACGGAUCAACUCAGACAUUUCUCCAAGACGGUGACGAAGUGACCUUAUCAGGCUUAUGCAAGGUAUCAGCUAACUAACAGAAGUUUAGUUUUUGUUUUAUGUCCCAACAAUUCCAGAUGAUUAUGAAUUUGCUUGCUAAUCAAAUUACGGCAAUGAAUAAACCGGUUGUAGGGAGAUGGUUACAAUGUCGGAUUUGGAACCUGCACAGGGAAGAUUGUACCUGCACUCCCUUGAUCUGCUCUCGCCGGUAAACAUACCUUUAUCACAUUAAUAAUUAUUUUCCUUAGAACCCUGAAUUAUUGUAUUAUUUAGACCAAAUUUUUAAAAAAUUCCCUUCCUUGCAGGAAAAAUGGUGAAAAAUAAAGAUUUCUGUAAUCACGAUUACGCACUUGGGGUAUGAAUAAUGGAAUAUAAUUAAGUAGAUAACCCCAUCAUCGGAUUAAUAAUAAUAUCAUCUUAAUAUGUUAUUCAAUCUUUUAUAAAGAAAGACAACGGAAUAUUAUUAACUUUCUACAUAAAAAGCUUUAGCAACGGUCGGUCACAAAAACUUUGAAUAAUUUGGUCUUUACUCUUACUACUUACACUAGUGAGUGAGUUAUAAAUUUUUAUUCAACAUUAUCACGAGUAAUAUAUGAGUCAAUAACGACCACCGUCAGAGAAAUUCUCAUCCAUAUCCAAAAAAAAAAGAAAGAAAAAAAUGAGAAGUGCGAAAAAAUUCUCAUCGUCGACAAGAACCACCACCGUUAACCACACUUUUUAUAAUGACCAAAAUACCCCUCCAGCUACAUCAUCCAAACAAGUCCCGAUCGAAACUCCAUCACCGGCGGCGAAAGCCACCUUCAAGACUAACUCCACCCCCGCCGACGCAGCAGCGAGGAUCCAGUUCGGCUACCGCUCUUACAGGAUCCGAAACCUAUACAAGACAAUCGCAUCCGUCAAUCGAGAAGCGAAUCGCGUGCAGAGCAUGAUCCAACGGCAAGAAACGGUCGACGCCAUUAGAACCGAUGAGAAGGAACGUCUUCGGAUGAACGAGACUCUAAUGACUCUGCUCCUAAAACUCGACUCCGUUCCAGGUUUAGAUCCGUCGAUCAGAGAAGCGCGGAGGAAAGUGAGCCGUAAGAUCGUGGGGAUGCAGGAAAUACUCGAUUCAAUCUCGGAGACAAACGACGAGAUCCAAUGGUGGAAUUACAACGAUCUCGGAGGAGUCGACGCCGGGCAAGGCGGCGGCACGUGGCCUUUGUAUUGGGAAGAAGCGGUGGAGGAGGAGAUGUGUAGAGAGAAAGGCGGUGAGGAAAUGGAGAGGUUCUGUGCUCAGUACUUGGGUUUCAGAUGUUUCCAGAGAUUUCUCCGAGAAUGAACUACGGCGGUAAAAGAAACUAAUCGCGUGUGUCGCGGUCUACGAUUAGAUUCUCUAUUUUACUCCGUUUUUGUAUGUAUGUAAACUGGAAUACGUGCCGUCUUUACUACAUUCAUGGAAACGUCGCGUAGUUUUUAUAUAGUUAUUGUCAUGGAUAAUAUACGAAUUACACAAUUACGGUCUCCAAAGUCCAAACUCAAUUUUAGGCCUAUAGUACAUACUACAUAGUAAUGCUAAGAAUUAAUAAAUUUAAUGUAUGUUAGAAAAAAAUUAAGAGAUAAACUUACAUAAAUAUGUGAUUAGUGAUGUUUAUAUGAACUAUACGAAUUGAAGCAUUCAACAUAUAUGAAGUUAAAAUACAAAAGAUCCAGCAGUUGAUACAUUAUUAUUUCCAAACAUAAAAGAGAGGAUUAAAAGUCGAAUUUUCGUUCUUAAGCCGCGCAACUACACUUACACCUAGAAACGCAGCGUUUACACUCGAGCAGUGAGGGCUUGGCCGCGGUGUCGCAUCCGCACGUAGUGGUGCAUGUCUUCUGAGUCACACCACCCCAAAGGCAACGAGCCAUGCAUCGGAGCACCGGCACACACUUAGGACAAACGUAUUUCAUUUGCUCCGCCAUGCAUGUCUUGCAGCUGUUUCGUGACGGCGGGUGCCGGCAGACACCACGGGAACCGGCGGCGGCGGUGACUUUCGAAAUGGAUAGCAGGAGGAUUAUGAGGAAGACGAGAGAAGAGAAGAGGCUUUGAAAUUUGUAGGUCUUCUUCAUGUUGGAUUUUGGUUUUGGUUUUGUGAGAGAGUUGAAUAUUUGAUAGAGGUUUUAUUCGAAAAUAUUUCUGUUGAUUAGGUUCGAGUGACUUCUACAAGAGUUAAAAUACGAGUCUGAUAGUGCAGUACACCAAGUUGCAUUUAAGUGAGACAUUCAUUGUUCUUGAAGUGUACAAUUUCCUUAAAUGCCUUCUUCAAUCUUUUUACAACGAAUAAAAAUCAUGUGUUAUAAUAUUCAUGCUUGAUGAAAACAAAGUAAAAAAUUCAAUCGAUCUCUAGCUAGUUUGCAAAAUAAAAUAUAAUCUGAAAAUAGUAACUUACAGAAAGCCAAACAAGCAAAUUGUCUAUAUCAAGUGAGAUGACGAAUCAUUAAAAAAUAUAUUAUUGAAGAACUAUAUAUAUUUAACAAAUAUGAACUUAUGAAAGAAUUUAAAUUAAAGAGCAAAUAAUAAGUUGAAAAAAAAUUUGAUUAAUAAUAUAUAAAUUUGUUCUCUUCUUCCAGUAAAUUAUAAUGGAUCACACCCAGUUCUUGCGAAUGUCGAAGGUGUAGUUGUUCUCCAAGUAGCAUUUAUUAUCAUCAUCCACGAACUGCAAAAAAGUUAUAAGACCUUUAUUAUAAAUCCAUUCUAAACCAGAGUUUUGAUACACUACGCCUAACAAAAAAAAAAAAAAACAAACAAAACUUAUGUACCUUAGAUUUAACGGAAUAGGAGCCUCUAACAAGCAAACCAGAGGGAGCCGUUUCCUCAAACAUGACAUGAUCGUACGGUUCCGCCUGUGGACUAUACGUCCCUAGCAUCUCCUUUCUACUAUACACUAUUCUCCACAAAGAGAUAUUUAAAACUGUUUAGACAAAGGCUUCUCAAACUUGUGUAGUUAACAAAUGUGUAAAUGACAAAAACUAAUACCUUUGAUUCCGGUUUUCCAAACCGUAUUGCUGUACCGGAGGCCGGACACAAUGUUGUUGGUGACACGGAAAGUAAAUAUGAGAGUGUACUUCGAGCCUUCUUUGAGAGUGAACCAUGGUCCUUUCGAUGUUGGUUUUCCAUUUUCGGGGAUCUUUAAUACCAUGUCUUCUCUGUCCGGUGACCUAAUUGUUAAUGUCAAUAUCUUUACCACCGGAUCCGGAGUCUCUGCAUUCCACAAUUUCUUACUCAAUAUCAAAACAUUACAUACAUAUCUAUAUAGUUUCUUUCAAAAACACAACAUUCAUUGUGGGACAAAACAAUUACACGUAUCUAUAUACCUAAGUCUAAAAAGUGACACAUCUUCAUCUGUUAAAGAAAUGUGGUUACUUGGUCUAAUCGUAUCUUACGUUAAUUCACUCAAAAAUUAAUGGAGGCAAGAAAUGCAUGAAAAUAUGGGACGAAUUUACAGUUUUUACAAUCAUUAGAAAUUCUCUAAACAGGAUCCAUAGCUAUGAUAUACUCGGAUUUUUACCUCCGACCUCCUCAAGAUCCACGCUGCCUAGAAGUUGCUCCUUCCAUCUCCUCAAGCUUUCAUCAUCCUAAACAAAUUUUUAAUCGUAGGGAAGUGAUUAGAUUGUCGUGGAGAUAUUGAAACCCAAAUCCACCCGUUAUUAUACAGGCAAAGAUAUAACAUAUGUGUACUAAACAUAUAUAGCCAAAAAUCGAGGUUUUUGUAAUGUAUGAAAUGAUGAUAGCAGGAGGCUAUGAGAGAUCAAAUUAAACCUUGUCUUUCUCGAGCUGUUCUUUGAGAGCAAUCAUGGGACCAAGUUCAAGUUUCUUGUCUUCCUCUUCCUCAUCAUCAUCUGUUGGACACAUAGAGCUAUGGCUGUUUUUCCUGCUUAGCCCUUGUCCCUUUGGCUCUUCUGAAUACUCUUCAGCUUUCUUCUCCUCAUCUUUGAAACCCAUUUUUUGUUUUCUUGAUCUCUAUUCGUUCUCUGAUUGAAUUCGGAUCUUAUAAAGCGUCUACAGUUUGAUUUGAUUUCCUGGAGAUGGUUAUGCGCAACUGGGUUUAACGAGGAGACAACCAAAAACACUUCAAAAAGGCAGCAAAGAAAAUAGAAGAGGAAAUUAAAGAGCCUAAUUAAAGGAUUUGUUUUUGGUCAAAAGAAUGAGAAGAAAGUAACAAGAAGAGAAAUAUAGAGAACUAAAAUUAAGACAAUGAAAGAGAAAGAGUUGAUACUGUUUUUGUUUGAGGAAUGUUUAAAUAUGGAUUUCGAAGAAAAAGUCAUGUGAUGAUCCUUAAUUAAGACUUGUAGUCUUCCCGUUCACAGGAUUUAAGUUCCUUUUUCCUAAAAAUAAUUUGUACGAUAUAAUUAACAACUAUAUGUACAUGCAUGCACGUAUAGCUCGAUAUAAUUUGUUGGCCCAUUUAGUUAGGCCUCAAGCCCUAAGUCUAAUGGUAUAUGAACUUGGACAUCCACCACAAUCUUGUUGCUACUACAAUAUAUAGCAUAAAAAAUGACAUCAGUUUUUUUUUUUUUUUUUUUUUGUCAACAAAAAAUGACAUCAGUUAUAGCAUAAAACUAUAUUUUUGAGUUUUUUUUUGGCUAUCGGUCGAGCAAAAUCCGAACCAUUUCAGAUUGACACUUGUAUAUAUUUGCCUACUAUAAGAAAAAUGAAAAUUCGAAAAAGUUCAUCACCGUCAAGUCACAAGUGCCAACUAAUCUGGCGACGAUCGAAGAGAUUCCCUUCCUCUAAGAUAAACAUCUACCAUCAGAUUUAAAGCCUCUUUUCAGAAUCAACGGUGUGAAAAUCCAGACGUUAGAGAAAAAUAUAUAUUCAAGAGACACAUAUCCUUCACUUUGUCCAGCUUUAACGUUACACAUGUUCAAGGCAUGGGACGUUUUAUCAUAAUUGGGACACUAAAAGUGAAUUAUUUGCAACUUUCGUUUCAGAUCUACAUCAUAAAGAUUUAUCAAUUACGCUCGAACAACAGUAUCCAUUAAAAAAAAUCUGAACUUAGAAAUAGAUUGAUAGAUGCAUUACUAUUGUGUUAGGAUUGUAGUGUACUACUGUAGAUAUAUAUUACCAACCGAGCGAUAUGUCCCUCUCGGUGUUGACCUAUACCUAAUAUAUCUACUCAGUUUCUCCCUAUGUGUCUACCUAAAAAAUUUCCAAUUUUGUAACGUUCAUGGUUCAUCCCUUAAUGCAUUAUUGGUGUUUUUAAGUUUAGUUUCGGAUACAAUCAAUGGGGUCAACUGAAAUGGGGUCAUCUUAGCCGUCCAAACCCUUUUUACCAGCUUUUCUGCUGUGGUCAUUCUUUACAGAUUGUGAGAGUACGUGGCUUGUGGCUGUAUCUUCACUUUUUCUUCGAAACUGAAAAACCAAAUUCCUAGCUAAUCACACAAUUUGCUCUAUAUAUUUCCACAACUAAAACGUAUAUACAUGUUUUUUUUUUUUUUUUGGUAACAGGCUUAGUAUAUACAUGUUGUUUUUAAGGUUUCAAAACCUAGAAAAUUAUCGAAAGGAUUUAAGAAUAUGUAAUCUAAUUAAUCGGUUACUGCUUGUUGGCACCAUUAACAACGUAACGAACAUAAAAUAUACAGUAAUUAAUUAGAGAAAAACAUCAAUCACAUAAUUUGUUUUUUAUUUUACCAACAUCAGUAUGUUUACAUAAACGAAUCAAUCUUUCUAACUGACUGAAUAUUUAAGGUAAAAAGAUGAAUAUAAUUUAUAUAAAUGUAAUAUGUUUAAACUAUAUACUUAGCGAGAGACAACAAUGUCGAAAUUAAUCGCAAGUAUAUUUUUAUUUUCUGCUAUUUAAUUAUAUAAAUUAGGUAAUUAAUUUAAGAAUAUAAUUUCAAUGUUUAAAAAAAAAAAAUUAACAUAUUAACAAUAAUAUUAGUUAAUAUUAUAUUUCUGUUUUUUUGUUAGGCAUAUAGAUACCUGUUUAUAUAAAAGGAAAAGGAAACUAAUGUACAAGGAAGGGUCCCACAUUCACGACGAAUCCUACCUGGCUCACACUCACAUGGGCCCGCGUUAACUUUUAGCCACGUCAUCAUUUGUCAAAUAUAUAUAGUACCAAUUUAGUAGUACUAAAUAAUUUCUUUAGAAGGAUUUUUAUCUAUUUUAUUCAUAGAAAACACUUUUGAAUCGUCAAAAAUUUUAUUGACUCUAAUAGUAAAGAUUGCAUUAUCUUUCUCAGACAAUAAUCAAUCUAAAUUCCUUAAACAUGAUCAAAAUGUUGAAAAGAACAUCAUUAUAUAUAUACACAGUUAAUUCAUCAAGUAUAGUUCUUUAUACCUGUUUCUUACGUGGCAUGCUAUUAAACCGUAUGAUAAUGGUGUACGUAGAGUUCGAACGUCAUAGGAGAACAUUGCUCAUGAUUUUGGAUGAUCAACAGAAUAAAAGAUGGUCCACGCAUGCAGGCGUUUAAUACUUGCUUUAACUGAUGGGAUUUCUAAAAGAGGUCAACGUUCACAAAAGAGAAGUUCUAACGUUCAGUUUCAUAGGAGUUCCAACGUUAUUUACAUGAUAUGUUUCUUGUAACGUUCACCGGGCUAUAUAGGUCGCAGAAUAAGAGGAAAAAAAAAAGAACUUCUCCAAAAGUUCUUUUGCAGAUAAAUUUUUCUUUUUUGGUAUAAAAUAAAUUUAAAUUUCUUAGUUGAUUUUUUUUUUUUUAAAUUACAACUUGGUACGUAAUGGUUAAGUGAUGAUGUUCUAUGUUUAUGUGGCAUGAGGUGUAUAAUUGUACAAUUUGUUUUUUAUAUAAGGAAAAAAAAAGAUUCUUUCAUGUGCAAUACUCAUUAUCUCGAUAUAUUAUUUAAUGACAUUUAUUGUAGACAAGCAAAAAAAAAGAAACUAAUAAUUAAUAUAUAUUUUGUAACAAACAUUAUUGUAAAUCAUUUUGCUUCUACUAUAAAUACCACUCUCCCCUUGAUCAAUUCUCUUCACUCACCAAAGCAUCACAUUCACAUACACUUACACUUUCUUCUCCCCUUCUUAUUUCCCUCUUAAGCUUUUUUUUUCAUUUCGAGAUGGCCACCGUUGAGGUAUUGUCUUUACAUAUUAGUUACUUUAUAGUUCAGAUUAUAAAUUUAUAUCCGUACGUCAUAAUUUUCUGUAUUACUCUUUUUUGCUUAACGAUCAAAUUAUUUUAAGCUGAUCAUAAAAAACGACAUACAGUUUUUGUGUUUAAUGAGUGUGUUUUGGUUUACAGGUUGAACAAGUGACUCCAGCAGUCGUAGAGAACGUUGAGGUACCAACAAAGACAGUCGAGGAGCCAGUGGUGACCCAACAACCUGAAGAACCCGUCACCGCCGUGGCAGAAGAAGAAAAGGAAGCACCAGCCGUGGAAACGAGCAAAGAAGUGGUUGUGGAAGAGGCAGAGAAGAAAGAUGAUGAAACAGAGAAGAAAACAGAGGAGGAAGAAGUGAAGACAGAGGUGAUCACGGAAGCCCCCGCAGCUGUGGAGGAGGAGAAGAAAGCAGAGGAAGUAGUAGAGAAGGAGGAGGUGACAGAGGCUACAGCAGUUGUGGAGGAGGAGAAGACUGAGGCGGCGGAGGAGAAACCAACUGAAGUUGCGGCUGCUGAGGAAGUUGUCGUCGAGAAGGCCGAGGAGUGAAGAAGAAGGAAGAAGCUUUAAUUGAUGACCUAUAUUUGGUCUUAUAAGUUAUAUCGUUUUCUGCUAUUUUAAUUUACUUUAUCAUAAUCUCAUAUAAAUAUGUAAUUUCCAUCGUUUAUUUGGUUUGUUAUAAUGAAAUCAGAUGUUUGGGACUUUUUUAAUCAGAUGUUUACAUGCUUGAUCGUUCAUAACAUAUAGCUUCAAAGUAUAACCGAGAACAUGGAAGAUUAGAAACCGUUUCCGGUUGCGUUAUAUGUACAAGCAAACAAAAUAAUAAUUACAUAAACCUUUUCAAAAUAUUUACAUAAACAUUUUCAAAAUACAUAUAACAUUAUUCAGUUGUUUCAUAGAACUGUAUAUACUUGUCUUUAGCGUUUAGGUUUGCUACCAAUGUAAAGUUUUUAAGAUGUACUAUAAGAUUGUGAUUUUUAUUUGGAAAUUUGGAAAUAUUUUCAUAUUAAUUGUGAACGAUAACAAUGUUCCUAAAAUCGUUUGUUUCUAUCCCAAUUCAUCAAGAGAAUCGUAAGAGAAUUUCAAAGAGGUCAAUGAUGCAAUCUUGAAUGCAAAAGAUCUGAUAUUCUUGGUUUUUAAAUAUGAAUCAAACAAUGAUUAUAUUGAUGAUUUACCAAAAGAUUUUAAAUCUAUAAUCUUAGAGACGUCGACGAAUUAAAGUUAACUCUACUAGUCGAAACGUUUUAAAGCGACAUACUUACAAAAGAUUGCAGUAGAAUUAGUCAAAGACUAUAAAAUAUAACGCACAGUCAGAAUCUAUAUAAUGCGUUAUUGUUGUACCUGUCAGAUAGAGGCACACAAAAGAUGAUAAUCGUUUAUAGAAUUCACUUUGGUGUUGUUGGUUUUAUAUUGUUUGGGCCUUUACUCGAUCUGUAGGCAAUAAUGUUAUAUGAGCCUAGCCCACCUUAGCAUGCAAUUUCAUGGAAAUUUGCCAUAGAUUUCAUUUUCAUAUGUUCUAAUUCAUUUGAGUAAAUACAAAACCACAAUAAUUACAGAUCUAAUUGGAGAUGUGAGAAAAUGAUCUAUACACACACUCACACACAUUUAUUAGUUUAUCACAAGUGUGUUGAGCCUAUAUAUCUACAGUCACUGAAAUCUUGUGCUAUCGACAAAUGAUUAUAUUCAAAAUAUAUAAUUCACAAAUCACAAGCCAUUGCUUAAAGAUUGAACUCUGUUUAGCAAUAAUGAAAUCAUUGCAAAAACUUAACAAAAAAUGUACAUACGCAAAAAAAGAUUGCUCCAAUAUCCCACUAGUUUGUUUUUGGAAUUUAGCACAUCCAUGAGAGACAUGAAGUUCAUGAUUCAAAAAUACAAAAAGAUGGAGAUUGCUUCUAAAACUGUAUCUUGCUUAAUCGAUAUAUAAUUCACAUUAUAAAUGAUUUUGGAGAUAUUAUUCAUUGAACUAAGAGUAAGAAGAAAACAAAGAGAGUUCACGGGCUCAAUAUGCAUCCACCGAAAUUUAUUUAUAUAAUUGCUCCUUUAGGGACCAUCCAAGUCUGAAAUGACACGCAAGACAUCGUGACAGCAAACUGUUAUGACACAAACUCACAAAAAUGUAAUUAAGUUCCUUUGUUUUUAAAUGAAUAGUUUCUGUAUAUAUUUGAUUAAUUAAUUGGUUAUUGGAGUGCUAAAAAUAAGUGACAGAACGAUCGUGAAAGUGAUCUCUAGCAAUAUUUCCCUAGCAUUUUUUUCUGACUCUACGAACUAGCAUCGUAUCUGUUCCUUUAACUCAGAUAACGAUGAGAUUAAUAGUAACAUCAUUAUUUGUAUCAACACUAAUAAAUGAUAUAUAAUUGUUCUUCAUUUUUAUUUCUUUCCGUUUGAUGUUUUUAUUUUUUUUGAAAAAAGUCAUGAAACUAAAUUAGAACAAUGUUCCUCCGAAUUGGCUUAUUUAAUAGGCUCAUUUGAGUUGAUCUUAUUAAACAGUUGAACAGGAAAAAGAAAAAAAAAAUUUCUAUAGCCUCUAUAUAUGGCCUUGGUCACAAAACAUUCCUCGUCGAUUAUGACAUCCACUAUAUGUAUUAUUGUAUUUAUUCAACAAUUGACGGCCAAUUGCAAGCUGAACUCCUAAACGUCACGUUAAAUUACAACCGCAAGAGAUUUUAUAUAUAAUUAAUUUGUCCUUGAGAUUAAUUAGUACUUUAUAUUAAUUUUGUCUUCUUUGUUCUUUUUUACGUUUGUUUGCUUUGAUUUUGAUUUUUGAGGUUAUAAAUGUACAUAAAAAAACUAUCUUAAAACCCAAAAUAUUAGAUAUAUGAAGUGAAAUAUACGACCAAAAUCCGUUGUUGGAUAACGUUUUACGUACCGUAUAAUGAUACCGGAUUUAUAAUAAUUAGUCUUAAUAUAUGUACGUAAUAAUCUUGUAGCCAAUCAUAUAUAUACACAAACGAUUUUUUCUCCUUGGAAGUGCAUGUGGUUAGAGACCCAUACGUUUUCCCUUUGUUUAUGUACCUCAUUAUGUGAACUUUGAGGCUGGUUUGUUUUCCUGUAACUACUCCUCCAUGGCUGGAGUUUGAGCUUCUUUAUUAAAAAUGUUGGUUUACAAAAAAAAAAAAAAAAAAAAAAAAAAAAAAAAAAAAAAAAAAAAAAAAAAAAAAGAGACCCAUACGUGGUCUGGAAUCUUUCAACUUUAUUGAAGUGGUUACUACUUGCUACUAUCCCAAAAAGACGAAACAAAACAAAAACACACCUUCAUGUUUGUUCUUUAGGUCCUUCUUUCC
rnacentral:lncRNA from 1 species